rnacentral:lncRNA from 1 species
GAAAGAUGAAACAACACUAAUAAAAAGAACAUACCUUGUUGACAUCUCUCUUACUAUUCCUGUUCCUGUGAAAGGCUCACGUGGACCCAAGAAACUUUGGGUUCCUAAAUCUGCUUAAUUUUUGCAGGUUAUCAGUGACGAGCAGUUUGACGAAGAAUGGUACAUUGACAGUUGGCUGCUCGCGUCACAUGACAGGAAGGAAGGAAGAGCUAAGGGAAUACAGGUCUCUUUCAAAUGGUGGAAACGUCAAGUUCGGGAACAACUCCUUCGGCACCAUAAAAGGCUAUGGAAUGAUUACAAACGGUGAUUUCACGAUAAGGAAGGUUGCAUACGUGGAAGGACUACAACACAACCUCAUCAGUGUAUCUCAGCUUGUUGGAGGUACCGGUCUCAAAGUCUCAUUCGACGAUGAGGGUUCUGAAAUAAUUGAGAAGAAGACGAAAAGAGUUAUUCUCAAAUCGGAGCGUAAAGGUGAAAUGUUUCCUCUAAACCUCAAACCCAUCAAAGGAAACCCAACUAUCUGCCUGUUAUCCAAAGCACAAUCUGACGAAAGCUGGUUGUGGCACCGAAGGCUCUCUCAUCUUAACUUUAAGGAUAUCAACAAACUUGUCACUGGAGGUCAUGUUCGAGGUCUUCCAUUGCUCAAGUACGAUAGAGAUCAUUUGUGUGCUGCAUGUGAAAUGGGGAAGCAGAGUCGUCAAAGUCAUCCAUCUAUAAUAAACACUAAAGUUGUUGAACCACUAGAAUUACUUCAUAUUGAUUUAUGUGGUCCAUCAUCUAUCGAAAGUAUCGGUGGUAGCAAGUACAUUCUUGUUAUUGUCGAUUAUUUUUCGCGUUUUACAUGGGUGUUCUUUCUGAAGCUUAAAUCUGAAGCGACUCACAAACUAAAAGUGUUCAUCAAGUAGAUUGAAGUACAGCUGAAGAAGGUCGUUCGCAACAUCAGGAGCGACAAUGGAUUGGAGUUCAAAAAUAGAGAAUUCGAAGAAUUCCUGGCAGAAAAGGGAAUUAGUCACAACUUCUCAACUCCCUACACACCUCAACAGAACGGUAUUGUCGAAAGACGAAACCGAUCUUUGUGUGAAGCAGCCCGAACCAUGCUAAGUUUCGCUUCCUUACCUUUAUAUUUUUGGGCUGAUGCUAUUUCUGCUGCUUGUUUUACACAGACAGGUCAUAUCUCAAUAAGCGCUUCACUCUCACUCCUUAUGAGAUCAUCAACAACAGGAAGCCGAAUGUCAAGUUUUUCCAUGUGUUCGGUUCACGGUGUUUCAUCUUUAAUUCUAAAGAACACCGCAACAAGUUCGAUGUCAAAACAGACGAAGGGAUAUUUCUGGGCUAUUCUCUCAGUUCUAAAGCGUAUAGGGUAUUAAACAAGCGUUCAAGGAAAAUAGAAGAAACUUAUUACGUGACCUUUGACGAUAGCUAUGUCAAAAAGCUAAAGGCCAUCGAAGACACAACUGGAGAAAUCUUUCCUCAAACUGGCCAAGUCACAGCCUCGAUCGCUAAUCUAUUCGAAAAGUUCAUGGAGCUAUUUGGUGAACCAGAGAAAGCCAUUCUCUCAGAAGCCAGUGCAGCAGACAACAAGGUAGAUCAUAUGAAGCAAAUUGUCGACGAUGCUGCAAAAAGAAUGAAUGAAGGAGGAUCAAGUUCUGACGAACCUCCACAGCACAAUGCUUCAGUCGAGGGGGAGGGUCUGCCAUCGUCAUCCCAACCGAGCUCACAAGUUAAGGGGGAGCUAAGGUCUCAAACUGCUCCCGAAAGCACUUUACCAACCGAAAGUGCCUCACCACCCAAAGGUGGAUCAACGCCCGAAAGCUCAGCAUCACAAGAAACAUCUGUAGCUCUAGAUUCUCAAGACAUUCCUGAAAGCUUAUCUGUCGAGGGGGAGCAUGCCGAUAUGUCCUACGACUAUGAAAGUCAAUCCGAACCAGAAGAGAUGAUUAACGCUGAAUUGGAUCCAACCUUUGACCCAAACUACCCUCCUCUCACCAAAUGGACCAGAGAUCAUCCUGUCUCGCAAGUUGUUGGCAAUUUUUCUGAAAAAAUUCUGACUCGAUCACAACUCAAGGCAAAACAAACUUCCUUGUUUUCAAAAGUAGAAUUCUGUAUGUUUAACUCCUUCGUCUCAAAAGUUGAACCAAAGACAGUUAACACUGCUCUUGAUCACUCCGAUUGGGUUCAAGCUAUGCAAGACGAACUGAAUGAAUUCGAAAGGAACAAAGUUUGGCGACUCAUUCCAACUCCUCCAGAUGCCUCAGUUGUUGGUCUCAAAUGGGUCUUCAGGAACAAAAUGGACAAGGAAGGGAACGUGAUACGAAACAAAGCACGUCUGGUAGUGAAAGGAUACUGUCAGGAGGAAGGAAUUGACUAUGAAGAGACUUUCGCUCCUGUAGCUAGGCUGGAAUCCGUUAGAAUAUUUCUCGCCUAUGCUGCACACAAAAACUUUGAAGUCUACCAAAUGGACGUCAAGUGUGCAUUUCUCAAUGGAGAACUUGAAGAAACAGUGUACGUGGAGCAACCUCCUGGAUUCGUAAAUGAAAGGUAUCCUAAUCAUUGUUAUAUUUUGGACAAAGCCGUGUAUGGACUGAAACAAGCUCCGAGAGCCUGGUAUGAAACGCUGACAAAGUUUUUAAAGAUGUCCAAAUUCAAACAAGGUUCGGUUGACCCAACCUUCUUUCGUAAGAAGGAAGGUAACCACCUUAUGAUUGUUCAAAUUUAUGUCGAUGAUAUCAUCUUUGGCUCUACGAAUCCCAGCUUAACAGCUGAAUUCAGAAAGCUGAUGGAGACUAAAUUUGAAAUGAGCUCAAUGGGUCCUAUUAACUUUUUCCUUGGUUUAAAUAUUAGACAGGGACCCGAAGGCAUCUUUAUUAAUCAGGAAGCUUACACGAAGACUCUCCUUGCAAAAUUUGGCAUGAUGGGAGAUUCAAAAGUCAAAGUUCCAAUGGCGUUCGGCACCAAGCUCACUCCAUCCUUGGAUAAACCGGCAGUUGAUAUUACGCUUUAUCGCCAGAUGAUCGGUUCUCUGAUGUAUCUUACUGCUAGCAGGCCUGACAUAAUGUUCUCUGUUUGUUACUGUGCUAGAUUUCAGGCCAACCCACGCGAACCUCACAUGCUUGCAGUGAAGAACAUUCUACGAUAUCUCAAGCGAACUACCUCUUUAGGUCUAUGGUAUCCUUCCAACUCAGGCUUCUUCGUUCAAGCCUACUCAGAUGCAGACCUUGGAGGUUGUGGACUAGACAGGAAAAGCACCACUGGAGGCUGCCAAUUCCUUGACGGGAAGUUGGUUAGCUGGCAAUCAAAGAAACAAACGUGUGUGUCUUUGUCUACAGCUGAAGCAGAAUACAUAGCAGCUGCAUCCUGUACCUCUCAAGUGAUUUGGAUCCAGAGUCAACUCCGAGACUAUGGACUCAAUAUGAAAAAGAUCCCACUAUAUUGUGACUCUGAAAGUGCAAUUAAGAUCUGUCAUAACCCAGUGCAACACUCCAAAACUAAGCACAUAGCACUGAGGUAUCACUUCAUCAAAGAUCAUGUGGAAGAUGGAAACGUUGAAAUUCACUUUGUUAGAACCACUGAUCAACUGGCUGAUGUCUUUACCAAAGCUCUUCCUGAAGCGUCAUUCAACAAAAUUCUACAAGGGCCAGGUAUGAUGGAAUCAGAGUCAGUACCACAAACUACCUCUCUAUCUCACAAGUAAGAAGCGAACUAGACCGAACGUUCGGGUUCGGUUUUUGUACUCCUGUACCGAAAUGAACCGAACGCUCGGGUUCGGUUAGAAAAUCUGCACUUCGCUCAUCAAUCAAAGGUGGUUUUCUUGGUUGUAAAUUUCAUGUAUAAGUGUUUCUAUUUCAUUCCUUUUUGUCAAAAGUAUUUCCUAUCUGAAAAUCUAAUUUCUUCGGUAACCGAAAUAGACCGAACGUUCGGGUUCGGUUUUUCAAAAUUUUUCCAAACCGAAACCAACCGAAGGUUCGGGUUCGGUUUUCCAAAAUUUUUCAAAACCGAAACCAACCGAACGCUCGGGUUCGGUUUUUCAAAAUUUUUCAGAACCGAAACCAACCGAAGGUUCGGGUUCGGUUUUUCUAAAUUUUUCAAAACCGAAAUCAACCGAACGCUCGGGUUCGGUUUUUCAAAAUUUUUCAAAUCCGAAAUCAACCGAACGCUCGGGUUUGAGUUUUUCAAAAUUUUUCUCAACCGAAAUCAACCGAAUGCUCGGGUUCGGUUCCAACGUUUUCCAAAGUUUUUUUUUUUAUCUUUUUAUUUUCUUUCUCAGUCUUAUUUUUUUAUCAUUUAUUUUUUUAUAUAUAUAUCAAAAAUUCCAAAAAUAUUUCUUUUCUACUAAUAUCAAAAACUCCAAAAAUAUUUUGUCAUUUAUUUGCUUUUUGUCUUUAAUUUUAUUUUAUGUGUGUGGGUGUUUAUGGGGAAAUUGUAGAAUUAGUUAAGUGUCCCUAGAAGCAUGCUGCUGUAUGUGCCCAAAGCCUCAUCAGAUUCUGAAUAAUAGCCUUAAUGACUUGGUAUACACAAACCUUGUCUUCCCAAUUAGGCUACCACACUUAUUCUAAUCGUGAGCUACCUAACUCUCUUCUCACAUGAGAUAAGAGUUUUCUGCUUGGUCCUACUUUUCGCAGCAGAGGUACUUUGAUUUCUUACACCAUCUCUAUUACAUUUCUCCAUUAAAUUUGUUUCACCAACGUAACUCUUGAGACUCUCAGAAAUUACCACUGAGGUUUAUGGUUACUCAAAAACUGUGUUUAUGAUCUUAGUUUCGUACCACUACGAGCUGAGUGAAACCCAAAAUUCAAUACCAACUCUGAAUAGAUGGUGAACAAUUAAUUUGCUCAAGUUUUCACUAACGAAUUGACGGAUGUAUCUUCAUGAAAUCUCAAGUUUUUAUUUUGUGUGAUUCCUAUGAAAUUGUUAAACACCAUAACAUUUCUUCCCUUGGGAUCCAGUUUUUAAUUUUUUUNNNNNNNNNNNNNNNNNNNNNNNNNNNNNNNNNNNNNNNNNNNNNNNNNNNNNNNNNNNNNNNNNNNNNNNNNNNNNNNNNNNNNNNNNNNNNNNNNNNNNNNNNNNNNNNNNNNNNNNNNNNNNNNNNNNNNNNNNNNNNNNNNNNNNNNNNNNNNNNNNNNNNNNNNNNNNNNNNNNNNNNNNNNNNNNNNNNNNNNNNNNNNNNNNNNNNNNNNNNNNNNNNNNNNNNNNNNNNNNNNNNNNNNNNNNNNNNNNNNNNNNNNNNNNNNNNNNNNNNNNNNNNNNNNNNNNNNNNNNNNNNNNNNNNNNNNNNNNNNNNNNNNNNNNNNNNNNNNNNNNNNNNNNNNNNNNNNNNNNNNNNNNNNNNUUAAUCCACGUGGGCGUAUUAUUCAAAAGAUGCCGUUACACUUUAAAGGGAUAAGAUGAAGAGUUGCUGACUCAGGCGGGAGUUUAAUUGAUUUGAUUUCAAACGGCGGAACAGGGAAAGCGUGCGAAUUUGAAGCGUCUAAUCUCUAACUGACGUCGCAGACGCGUGUGCGAAUUUGAAACGGUUCUCCUCUGGCACAGAAAGGCGCGUGUGAAUUUGAAACGGUUUAUCAGAAACGGCGCUUGAUGGGAGGCGUGUUCUUCGGAAUCUGACAUUCUCUCUCAUGCGUGAUCAUCGGUUCCCCAACUGUCACGCAUCAGUCACCUCCGGAAAACUCUUGGUAUUUCGAUAGAAGAUUUGGGCAGAUCUUUCUCUCUCCUUAAACCCACUAUAAAAGGCGACAUCCUCCACCAUUUACCUCUUUAUUGCAAUCAAAAUUCCUAAGAGAGCAAGAAUUCCCUGAACCCUAACUGUUCAUCAUCUUCUUCCCUCUCUUCAACAAUGGCCGAUUCAUCCUCUGUUCAUGCUACUUCUCACAUCCUUCCCAUUCGCCCUCAACAAUGUCUCAUCAUUUACUUAACCCCUCACGCAUAUGACUCCUACAUGUUCCCCAUCAUCGAGUGCUUAAAGUAUUCGCCGAUUGCUCCUGCACUUUCUAGGGUGGAAUCAGUGCCAAUGGAGUUUCUCUCGCAGAUCUACGCGACGGCUCAUUACGACAAAGUCGUUGACAGGAUCUUCUUCGAAGUUUCUCAUCACAAAGCAUCCAUCUCCAAGCAAAGAUUUGGCUCACUGCUAGGGUUUGAAGCUGACCCUUCAAGGGUUAAUCUAGAGACUAUUCCGAUGGGGCACCUCUUCAACAUGUUCUACAAUAUGGGGUAUACGGAGGCGCUAACUUCCGUCGCCAAGUUCAAGAAAUCGUGUUUGCCGCCACAGUGGAACAGAAUGUUCACUGUGCUAUUCAAGGGUCUUUCAGAACGGAGCUCUGGUUCAGAUGACUCCAGUCGACUAUUCCUGUCCAUCUUGUAUGGUGUCUACAACGGUAUCAACGUUGACUAUGGGUUUGUUCUCUUGCAACAACUCAUCCAAAGUUUAUCUUCUUCUUCACGGCAUUCUGAGGUGUCGUAUGCAAGGUUUUGGACCCUAAUUACGAAGUGGGUCAUGGACAAGUACAACAUCCCCACUACCGCCGGCGCACCGAUGUCUUCGAUUGGUACCUUUCAUACCACAAAGACCAUCGUCUCAAAUGCUUCAAAAUUCCCUUUCAAUGGUUCCAUUCCGGAAACCAUGUACGUUGAUGUUCCAGCUGACAGCAGGAUCAUCCGGACCUACAAGGAGUUCAAGAAAUCUGGUCCGAGGGAUCUCACGCCAGAGAUGCUAAAAUCAAUUCACGAUGCCGAUAAGCCUGCUCCGAGAGGCAAAAAGGCAGACAAAGGCAAACAGGUGGCGAAAGGGGCUANUCCUAAGAAGAGGAAACCCACUAAAGUUGCUCAGUCCCCGCAGCAGAAGAGGCGAAAGACACAACCAAAGCGAAAGCUGAUUAUCGCUUCCUCUUCAAGUGAGUCGGAGGGUGAGAGUUCGGAUUCUGACAACUCUCCAAGAGGCAACACACCUCCAAGAGGCAACACACCACCCAGAUCACCUCCCCCCGAAAUGCAAAUCCAUACUUCUCCAAUUCCCUCUCCUACUCAAACAAUUCCUACUUCCAUUCCCACCAUAAACCCCUUUACCAAUAUUCCAAAAACAUCAUUCCCUAUGCCACCACCCAUCUUCACCGAUGCAACAACAACAUCCACUGCAAAGGUUACAACCAACGUAUCUGAUACGGGGGUUCAUACCGAUGCAACCGAACCACCACCAGCAACCGAACCUACCCCUACUCACACACAACCUAAACCUACACCUACACCUACACCCGAAACCACCCAACCAGAACCCACCCAUACAACCGAACCACCACCAUCACCAUCUCCCGGUCAUGCCUCUGACGGAGAUAACCCUUUCCUUGGCGGGGAAAACAUGACAUUUGAUUCGGUCUAUUACAGUCCGUUUCAAGUGCAGAGUGACGAUGAUGAGGAUGCUCCGGUAACAAAGAAACAUCUUAAGGAGCUACAUGACAAGGUUGACUUGCUCAUUGCUUCUUCCUCCAACUCUCAAUCAUCUCUCUCUGAAGCUGCUCUUCAGAAGAUUGUUGAUGCCUUCUCAAGGGCUCAGCAAGAUUCGAUCGCUUCUGCAACCGCCGCCAUUGAUGCCUCGAUGAAAGCCUGUGAGGCUGCGACCGCAAAAGUCGAUAAACUAUUAUCUGAAGCCUCUACCCUGUUACAAUCUUUACAGGAGAGUGCUACUGCUACCAAGACAACGUUGGAACCAAUCGUUCAACAGUUGGCCACGUUUGUCUCCACAGAGUUGACGUCCUUUGCCACACUUCGUCAAUCUCUGACAGACGACAACUCUGCCUUCCGUGCAUCUAUUGACGAGCGCCUCUCUAAACUCCAAGAGGAUCUGGCUACUGAGAACUCGUUGAUGGAUGUCUUGGCAAGGAAGACCACUGCCCUAAAGGUCAAGAGUGCUCAACUUUCCAAUUCUCAACAACAAAUGAACGCUCUUCGAUCCGAACGGGAGGUCAUCAAGACGUGUGUUUCGGAUGUACACUCAGCCAUCUCUAACAUCCUAGAAGCGCACGAUCCAAUCCUAAAUCAUUCUGUGAGGCGUACCCUUGCAGAGAAGCUCGCUCUUGCCCUGGAUCUGCUAAGUAAAAUUGAAGGGCUACCCAGUUUCGUGUCCAAUCCGAAACAAGGGGGAGAAAAGGAGUCAGGAUCGCAACCACCUCAUUCAUCAAAGGCAACUCACACAACCAAACCUCCUCCUGCAGGCCAAGCCUCUGGUUCGGGUGUGAAGGAUAAAGGCAAGAAACUUGCUGAGGAUGAAGAGGAAGAUGAUCAAGAAACCAUUGCCGACUUGCUGAAACGCAAAAGUCGUCGCAAUGUUGAAGAUGAUAAUGUUCGUGUGGCAAGAGAAGCUGAAGAAGCUGAACGCAAGCAGAAAGAAGCCCACGACCUUCUCGAGAGUAGGAAGACUCUUUUUCCUGCUUGGACUCUCGAGAGGAUGAUAAAGGAGGCAAUCGAUACUCCGAGCAUCUUAUGGCUUGAACCGGUAAUCUCUUUUGACUGCUACAACUCCGUCGACUCUCAGUUCGACAUGCCCUUAACCCGAAAGGCGUUCAUCUUUCACGCCUUCGCCAACGUUGCUGAGUUCCCUCAUCCUCAUCCGGAGGUUGAUCGGGAAUUGAUUGAGUUCUAUCUGAAGGCUGCUCAACCCCAGUACCAAACCUGGAGCGCUCAGAAGAUCAUCAACGUUCGGGUUCUGAAGCCAUAUACUGAAGGGAGAUUUAUCAACGUUCGGUUCAAAGUGCUCAGAGGGUCUGCAAAAACCGAACAUGCCAUCUCUUUAGCAGAUCUACCGAACCUCAACCCCCAUGACUGGAUCGUUCUGCACAACAUCCUUCUGACUAAUGAAGCUGAAUAUGGUCCGAUCAUUGACCAUCUCAAGAGGAUGUUGGUGUGCUAUAUCAUGGAGGUCGCCCUGAUGGAUCAGGAGAUUGCAAAUGUCUUCAAGAAGAAACCGAAGAUAUCUCCUGUUGGCUCGGCCAGUGAUCUAAACCAGAUGAAGAUGGGAAAAAUUGACCCGUGGCGAAACUCCGUCAUGUUCACUAGGAGUGAAGGACAGAAACGUCUCUUUGCCUUAGCUGAUAAACAUCUUUAUACCACUGCUUGUCUAGAGCAUGUGCUGGGGAUCAUCCACAGGUGCAAAGAAAAUACAGCGGAUGAUAUCAAGUAUUUUGACGACAUGAUACAAUGGUACAUUCGGUUAAGACAGACAAUCCUCGCGCUUAUCUCUCGUCUGUUUGAGACUGUAAAGAAGAAGGUUCCUGCUGCUGCUGGCCCAAGUAAGAAGACAAAGUGAUCUCGCUCCAAUUUGNGUUGGGUAGCGUAGCAUUUUUGAUGUAUUGCGUCCAUUGGGCUCGGUUAAUAGUCCAAGUUUUGUUACUCCGGUUUGGGCCUGUCCAACCGUGAGCUGAUAGGGUUUAGUAUAAAUUAAUGUGCUUGCAUGCAUAUUAGGUGAUCGAUUGAUAGAGAUUACGAUAGCAAUUACGAUAGAUCACAGAGUUAUUUCUUCAUCGUUCUUGUAAACCCUAAAUCCUCUACAGUAGAAGUUCUUUAUCGAGCUCUGCUGAGGAUUGUUGAUUAAUCAUUCGACAUCUUUGAUCCAUUCUUGUGUUCUUGCUGUUUACUCGUUUAUUACUUUACCUGUUUUAUAGAUCUAAUCGAUCUUCAAGUUAGUUUUUAACUUAUCACUUAUAAACCAAGGAGGCUUGCAGAAACCCUAUAAUAGAGCUCCAUAAUCGUCGCCUUUUAAGGAGGUUCUAGAAUGUCUGCUUGUUCAACUUUUGGACACUUGCAUUCUGACCCUAGACCCAUUAAUUAAUUCGAGUUAAUCCAUAACAAAAAAUUAAAUUAACUCUGAUUAAUUCUUAAUUUAUUAAUUCCAUUUCUAAUUAAUAUAUUAAUCCAAUAAUAUAUUAAUAAUUUAUAUAUNNNNNNNNNNNNNNNNNNNNNNNNNNNNNNNNNNUAAUAUAUUAACAAAACAUUUUCUCUCUCUCUCUCUCUUGUUUAAUCCAAGCCAUUUCAUGGUUAUGAGGGAAACCCAAAAAGGAUUUUCCUAUGAUUCAUCCAAAAUACCAAUUUAGUUAAGACCUUAGACACCCUAAUCUAAUAGUUACCCACUUGAAUAAGUCGUCAACUACAAUUGCAAGUAUAACUCCUUGAAUAACUAGUAAAGAGUGCAUUCCAAGCUACUGCCAAACUCUGAUUAAAUUAGAUGUCAGCCCUAAGAUAAGUGAUCAACUAUUCAUCCGUUCUUCCUGAUAUUGUAUGGAUAUGAGACAUGGAUUACAAUCAAUCUCAUGGUCGAGGAUUUUGUUUCUUGAUUUCUUGAUUUGCGAUGACACCAUCAGACUACUAAUUGAACACAUCAAUCUAGCUCCGGUUGGGUGCAACAAAAUAAUGUCAACAUCAAAUCACCGAGGGGCCCAAAGAUAUCCCUUUCCUUAAAUAGGCAAACCGAACGAAUAAUCUCCGACUGUAUAAUCAUACAUUUUACUCGUCAUGUCACACAUAGGAAUACACUUUUUAACAUCCAAUUAUAGAUGCGUUGAUGCAAACCUAUGUAUAACAUAUUCGGAAACUAUGACUUAUAUAUCUUCAUUUUAAGAAUAUAAGAUAUUAUUAUCUUAAAAUUACCCAUAAUUGAAUCAACGAAGAAAUCUCUAAGCUCAGGUUUAACCAAUACUCAAAAUUCCCGUUUUCUAAGUACUCAUGAACAUUACAACAAUCCUUAUGCAAUGUCCAAUCCCUAUGGACAAUAUACAGACAAUUCAUGAAAACCUUAAGUCAAUAUCAACUACCCAAAAAUAUGACUGACUGUGACAUUUUGAAUAAAUUAAUAUCUAGGAAGUUAAACACGCAAAGUGAAACACAAAUAAAUUGACUUAUGUGAAGACUUUGGGGUUUUUAGAAAGUAAAGUUUAGGCCUUAUGAAAUGUUGACAAGUUUGGUUGGGAGAUGUAAGUCCUUUAAUCUUGAGUAGGACCAAGGGUGAACUGGGGAAGUAUAGAUGUCAGACUGCUUGCAAGGGUUAUGGUUUUGAGUUUGACUUAUGUUAAUCCAAAUUUAACAUGAAAGGGUUAUAGAGAUCUUCAAGACCUUUUCGUAGGUAUAAAGAACACCGAAAUCGGAGUUGGACCGAAGAAGUUAUGGUCGUUUGAAUUUUAGAUGGGAAUAUGGAAUUAGCAGUACGCUAGGCCUACAUCUAAAGUAUGCAUUGCGUACUUCAUUAAAUGAAUCGCGUGACUUUACCCGGUAUACUGGGUGUACCUAGAUUAUGCUGGGCAUAAUUACACAAGGUGCAAACCCUAAUUUUUAGGGUUUAUGAUGCAACAUACAAACACAAACAAAGAUAAACAUGGAUGAACCUAUUGGUUUUAAAAGAAUAACCAAGACAAUCUCUUCAAAACCACGUUGAUUGUACGAAUACCGUGGGAUUGGCUUCAAAAUCUAGGUUAACACGCACAUAAUUUUAGGAGAAAAUUGAAAGUUUAUAAAAUAUAUGAUCGACCAUCCAAUUUACAUUAGAAAUAGUUAAAUAAGAAGCAGGAAUUAAAACAAAACCCUAAAGGGCCAUAGGCCAAAUACAACACCACAUCCGAUCGGAUCCUCCUUUCCAGUGAAGGUCCAAGGUUUGCAAGUCAAAAAGUCUUUGUACUUGCAUCCAAGUCCAUCAUUUCCUCCAUCCUGGUUGAUUUGCCUAACAAUCGGUGGAUUAACUUGACCAACAGUCCCACUGAAGUUACCACCUUCCGAAUGUCCUUCAUUCAACUCGGGCUGUUCAAUCGGCAUUGAAAGUUCUUCAUGAUUCUGUCGAAGCAAACGUCUAGUUUCAUCCAUUUGACGAUCCAACAUCGUCUGAAUCAUCAAUUGUACACCAGCCAUUGUUAUUGGCUCAGAUGUUGUUGCUACAACAGGUACUCGCUCAAUCACAGGUUGUUGAUUCCUAUCUUCGUUCACGUUUCCAACUCCACUUAUGUUUCUUACCAUUUUUGAUCUACACAACGAAUAAGGUGAAUUUAGAUCCUCAAUCACGAUAGAUAAUUAAAUCAUCCUUAUCACUCUGAAACAUUUACAUGCUAGUUCUAAUACCGUAAUCAUAUGCUUAGAAUCCUAAACACAUAAGGUUUCCAGAUCUGGUGGGCAACAAACCAUAGAUCUGAACAACUAAUAUCAUAUAUGGAAAAAUAUAACAUUUAGCACAUAAAAGCAUUUUUGGUAUCUUUCCUAAAAUAAACUAGUGCUCGUGUCUAAAAUAUAACAUACACUUAUCUCACAAUCUUCACUUAGCAUUCUAAGUUUAAGUCUAGAAAUCCUACAAAUUCCUAGUUUGCUUAAACUAAUGCUCUGAUACCAAAGGUGACAUCCCCAAAUUCACGACCAGAAAAGACCGGUUUCAUUUAUGCUUUUAAAAUAAUUUUAGAGUAAAUCCAUUGAUUUUAAAUGAGUUGUGGAAUUUGUCCCCAAAACAAUACAUGAUAAAAAUAAGGUUUAUCAAAGCAUUUCUUAAAGAAAUGUAUUUUCAUUAUAUAUCAAAACUCGGCAUAUCAUGUUCCGAUACAGACACAAAAUAGACCUUACACAGUUAUAUACAACUACCGUUCUAUAAAAAAAACAUCUUCACAAGUUCUCCAACUUAUGCUCUCGCCCCACUACCUGUAAUACAAAGAAAUUGAGUUGGUCAGGCUUGGGAGCCUGGUGAGCAUAUAGGGUUUUCAACCCACAAUAAAUAAUUAUAUUUAAUUUCACCAACCAACAAUAACCCGAUUACCCAUUCCGGUUAUCCUCACUUUAAGUCCCUAUGACAACAACUCUAACAAGGGACCUAAUCUAGGAUUUUCAUCGGGACGGACACUACUGCAAAGGGGUUUCCUCAAUAAUGAAUGUCCUAAGGCAACCAUGAGGGGAUAGAAUACAGCAAAUGAACACCCAAGUUCACUACACCUACAGGUUAUGAGCCUACCAGCGUUCCACUGAACUUUCUAGAAAAGUCCAUGGUCGUCAUCCAUAUUCUUGAGGACGACUAGAUCACAAUCACAUUGAGGACUCUCGUCACUUUUAUUUCAUCAUACAUUACUAUCUACCCAUGUUCUACCCAACAUAUUUGUAGACAAACUAUACUUGUGUAUAUACAGCUUAAAACAUGUAUAACAUAUUCAUUCAAUACUCAUACCACAUAACAAAUAGUAUAUCACAUAACACGUAUUUCAUAGAGUAUAAUUCAUAUAUGUGUAUUAUCAGAAAGCAACUACACACUUACUCGUAUCAUAUAUCUAAUACAUUCAUCAAUACUUGUAUUAAAAUCGUGUGUAUGAAAGAGACUAUGCACUCAACUGAUAAGAAGAUUAUCAGGCGGCACUACGACUCUUCAAGUAGUAACUCUUCGAUGAAUCUGGGAUAUCUUCACACACCGGGUUUCUUGCGGGUAGAGUUUCAGCUCGGGAACUCUGUUUAUCGGGAGCUUCGGGGCUUCGGGACUCACUUCGGGUCUCGGGAUGAUGCUGAGGCUUCGGGGGUAUAACUUUGUAACACCCGCGUUUCCAGGCUAGGCAUUUUCGUUGAUGUAAUAGUCUAGGUUAACCCUUGUAACUCUUUUUGAAGUAUUAAUGAUGAAAUACUUGAGUAUUAUGUGUAUUUGUGUGCUUAUUACUUAAUUAUAAAGAUAUAAUUAAUAGAGGAUAAAAAUAAGCGUCAAAAUUAAAGUGUGAGAUAAGCCCGAUAUCCUUACAUAAAGUUUUAGUGGUCGAAACAAGGAUUCCGGAGAUAUAAGGAAUGCCNAAUCCGAGUUAUAACGAAGAAGUUAUGACCUGUCGAUGUUUUGCGACAGAACCGGCACGAUGCCGAAUGACGUAAAAUAUGAAUUUAAGAUAGAGCGAUAUCUAGCCUUAGUGAUCUAAACGAAAUUCAUAGGGUUAGUUAAACCGAGAGCGUGCAUGAAAAUAACGCCCAAAUCUGACUUCGUGUGAGGAAGUUAUGAUUUUUCGAAGUUUCGACUUAGCGGUAUGCAGCCCGAAUACUCGAAAUGGAGAUCGAGUGAUAUUUAGACAAAAAUUUCUAAAUGAGAAUUGAAGAUCUCAUUGAUAGUAGUCCAACGAUAAAAAGACAGACAAAAACGGAGUUCUGAUGAAGGAGUUAUGAAUUUCGAACAAAGUUUUCCUGUCCCGGGCUACUAAAAAUACUAUAUAAGUAAUUGAUAUGUGCAUAAUUAGUUAAUUAUUUAGUAUAUAUUUUUAUUCAUUUUUAACUAAUUAUGUGAAUAAUAUGGACAAAAGGUACUUAAUAUUGUUUAAAUUUUGUUUUCAGUCCAAAAGAUAUGCUUGGGAGUAAAAGGGAGCAAGGGAAAGCAGUUGAAGACCAAAGAAUGAAGAUUGAGGAACAAAAGUAUACCUACUCGAUGAGUACACACGUCUACUCGGCGAGUCCAUCUGAAUAUUCCAGAAGAUAACCACGUCUCCUGAUCUAAGACGGAUAACAACGAGUCUACUCGGCGAGUUGGGUCUGCUACUCGCCGAGUACCCCCUGUUUUGAGAUAUCUAUAAAAAUCGAACCUUUAUCCGAGGAUAACACACCUUUGGCGAUUUUUGAAGAUCUUUCUGCGAUUAAGAGCACCAGAAGACGCUGAGGAAUCCUAAUCUCCAACCUUUUGAAGAAUUGAAGCAACCAGGUUAAUCAUUCCACUUAAGCUUAGGAUUUGAUGAUGUCUAAUCUAGUUGAAUUUGUUUUUGUGUGUGAUUUUACUUUAACUAUGAACUAAUUUUGUUUUUGUUUCUGUUUGGGGAAUACCAAGGAACUCCUAUGGUUUAAUUCUUAGUUUUGAUUAAUUGUUUAUUGGUGAUCUAUUAAAUUAAGUUUGUUAAAGACCCUUAUGCAUUAAUCAUGAUUAUUUUCUGUUAAUUGGAAGACAAUUAAGCUGCAUGAACAUCUCUUAGUUGUUAACCUCAUAUGUCUAUGUGAACACCAAUUCAUAUGCUUAGGAAUAAUGAUUAUGAAACUAAGAUUAAUAAGACAAUAAUUAGAUUAAUGUGUGAGCUUGUUUGAGAAACCAUCAAACAAGAGGUUAAUUGAUUUAUUAAAUUGAUUCACCACUACAAAUCUUAUUUAAUCCAAAUCAUUAAUCUAGGGAAUUAAUUAGUUUAAACACUUGAUCACCGCUUAAAUUAGUUAAUUGUCUAAGGGUUAGGAGUAAUGAACAUGAACCUAACCACUUUAAUUGGUAGCCAAUAAUAAUUAAUCUAUCAUAAAUAUAAAUAACCAUAGGAGUGAAUUGGUUGAACCUAAAUAGAAACAUCUUUAUCAAAUUUGGUGAAUUAGUUGUUUGUUUUAGUCAUUUAGUUAAUUAAGUGUUACUUAAGUUUCUAGUCUUGCAAAACUAGAAUAAAAACCUUUUACUUUCAUUAAUUGUUUUAGUUAAAAUUAGUUAUUAGUUUAAUUUUCCGUUCCCUGAGUUCGACACCUUACUUACUAAACUAUACCACUAAAAGACAGGUUCACUGCCUUUGUGUGCUAAAUAUAUUAAUAAAAGUAGGGAUAAAACAAGUGCAUUUUACACACAUCAAGUUUUUGGCGCCGUUGCCGGGGAACGGUUCUAAAUAAUUAAUCUAAUUCCUAAUUUUUUCGAUCCUUUGUGUGAGUUUACUUGCAUAAAGUUACUUUAUUACAAUUUAGUAGUCAGUAAUUAGGUUUUAGUAUCUGUUUUAGUUUUAAUAGAAAGUUUCUAAUUUUUUCAAAAAUACACUGGUACUCGCCGAGUGCAGUCGCACCUACUCGGCGAGUAGCAGCGUAAUCAGCAGUUAAAUUUUCGAAUUCUUUUAGUAUAAUUUUUUUUGUUCUUUUUACGCUUUUAUUCUGUUUAUUUCAGGACUUUCAUGACCAGAGGAUCAAACGCCCCGCUGGUACCCCCGUUUGAAGAUCCCGAAACCGCAUUGAAAAGAAACAAGGGAAAGGAUGUGGAUAGUUCAAGUACACCAAAGAAAUCACCCUUGUCCAAUUUGAAGACUGUUUUUGGGAAAAAGAAGAGCAGCAAAUCAGGAGCAUCCAACGCUUCCUUAGUAAUCGAUGAACCGGCUAAGGAGGAUAUCGAGUACGAGACCGAAGAAGAAGAGGACCUGACAUACAAGCACAAAACCGAAUUNAAGAGUUAGCUGUCACAAUGGCUAACAUUGAUGAAAUCCCCAUGGGAGAAUGGAAGAAGAGGAUGCGAGACGACACUGGCCCGGGACUUGUGCAACCCGCAAUUCCCGCGACUGCUACCUUCGAGCUAAAGGGUCAUAUCCUAGCUUUACUUAAGGAAAUACCUUUUUAUGGAAAAGACCAUGAAGAUGCCUACAAACAUUUGGAUGAAGUCAAUGAUGUAGCUGAUUACUUCAAUGUUCCAAAUGUGCCCCGUGAGACUCAGCUACUUCGUAUGCUUCCAGUGACAUUCAAGGGUGCUGCAAAAGACUGGCUCAAAUCACUUCCCCCGGGUCAGUCACCACUUGGGCUAAGAUGAAAGAAGAAUUCAUUGAUCACUUCUGCCCACCUUCCAAGAUAGCCAAGUUGAAGAAGGCCAUUGCUAACUUUGAACAACAAGCUGGAGAGUCUCUAUAUGAAGCUUGGGAAAGGUACAAGAGCUUACUAAGAAACUGCCCACAUCAUGACCUCAACAACCAGCAAGAAGUGUCCAUCUUCUAUGAUGGAUUCAAUGUCACAACCAGGCAGUUACUAGACUCGCAAGGCCCGCUCACAAAGAAGCCACCCCCGGUGAUCAAAGAAUUGAUUGAAGAAUUCUCUAAACACUCUAGAGAAUACCACAACCCUAGGCAUGAUGUCACUAGGGGAGCCGCUUAUGCAGCUACUGAAGACUUAUCCGCGGUCAUGGCUAUGCUAAAAACAAUGGAUAGGAGGAUGGAUAAGAUGGAUCAAACAAUCCAUGCUAUUCGGGUGGGUUGUGAAAACUGCAAUGGGCCUCACCUCACUAGAGACUGUGAUUUAGAUGAAAAUGGCAACAAGAAGGCGCAAGUGUGUUACUCAAGUGGAGACCGAUAUGAUGAAGACUGGCGCAAACAAAAGAAAGAUUGGCUCCCUUAUGAAGAGUACAAGAAAGCCAAGGAGGAAAGGUUUAGGCAAAAAGGGAGAUGGUUCUAUCAAAAGGAGGAGUCGGUGCAAGAAAGGAAGCCAAGCUUGGAAGAAAUGCUCACAAAAUUUGUAGCUGCUUCAGAAAAAAGACACAGUGACCAUGAUGCUGCAAUUCAAGAAACAAGGACCAUGCUAAGGAACCAGCAAGCAUCUAUUCACAAUAUAGAGACACAACUUGGGCAACUUGCUCAACAAAUCAACCAAAGAUCACCGGGCGAACUUCCUAGCAAAACUGAAAAUAACCCACGAGGCGUUUAAAUAAACAUUGUCACAACAAGAAGUGGGAAGAUAAUCACUCCCCUAGCACCUAUUCAGACUGAGUCAUCCAAGAAAUCACAGAAGGAGGAGGCAGAAAAGCAAGUAGAAAACCAAGAAAUACAUUCUGACAGUCCUACUCGCCGAGUACCACGUAUGGACUCGGCGAGUACAUCACAAAAACCCACUGCAUAGGUUCCUGAAAUACUUUACCAGCCUCCCAUGCCAUACCCAACCUGAGCUAAGAAGGAGAAGCAGGAAGAGGAGUACCAGAAGUUUCUAGAUCACAUCAAGACUCUUCAAAUCAACAUACCAUUCAUUGAAGCCGUCAUGCAAAUGCCCAAAUAUGCAAAGUUCCUUAAGGAACUUCUCACAAAUAGAAAGAAGAUGGAAGAAGUGAAGAAGGUGGUACUCAAUGAAAACUGCUCAGCUGCUAUGCUAAAUAGGCUACCAAAGAAGAAAGGCGACCCGGGGAGCUUGACCUUACCUUGCCAAUUUGGCAACUUGACCAUCAUUCAUGCCUUAGCCGAUUCGGGAGCAAGUGUAAAUCUAAUGCCAUAUUCGUUCUUUAAGAAGCUGGAUCUCCCGGAACCAAGGCCAAUUCGCAUGGCAAUACACUUGGCAAACAAAACAGUCACCUUUCCAAGAGGCAUAUGCGAAGACAUACUAGUCAAGGUGGAUAAAUUCAUCUUUCCCGCUGAUUUUAUCAUUCUAGACAUGGAGGCGGAUCCACAAGUGCCAAUUAUCCUUGGAAGACCAUUCCUCAACACGACAAGUGCCAUAGUAGACAUGAGGGACUCAAAGCUCACUUUGCGGGUUGGAGAAGAUUCAGUCACAUUCGGAGUGGACCAAGCCAUGAAGUAUUCAAGGAACAGUGACGACACAGCAUUCUCAAUUGAUAUGUUAGAUGAAUUACUGGAGGAAGGCAUAGCUGAAGAUUCCAUCAAGUUCAUAGCUGAGGAUGAAGAAUUUGAUCCAGAAAAAGACUUGAUGGAAAUUGAAAGACUGCUGGAAGAAGCCGACUAUGAAGAACUGAAGAAGAGCACUGACAGAACUACUCGCCGAGUAGGACCGCUAUACUCGCCGAGUACAUUUGAAGAAAAGGCAGAAAUCGUAAAUGCAGCCACAAACUCGCCGAGUACCCUACCUGCACUCGGCGAGUCCAACAGUCAGAGCCAAAAAUCGGAGCUGAAAACUUUACCAGAUCAUUUGGAGUAUGCUUUUCUCGAAGAAGGCAACCAAAAGCCAGUAAUUAUAGCCUCUGACCUGACCAAUUCUGAAAAAGAAGAACUCGUGCAAGUAUUGAAGAGGCGGAAACGGGCCAUAGCAUGGAGCAUCACCGACAUUAAGGGAAUAAGUCCAUCCUAUUUCUCCCACAAGAUCAACCUGGAAGAAGGAGCAAAGCCAGUUGUACAACACCAAAGAAGACUGAACCCGAAUAUGCAAGAAGUAGUCAAGAAGGAAGUGGUCAAGCUCUUAGAUGCGGGAAUUAUAUAUUCCAUUUCCGACAGUCCAUGGGUGAGUCCGGUCCAAGUGGUGCCCAAGAAAGGAGGGAUGACGGUCAUAACCAAUGAAAAGAACGAGCUAAUUCCGACACGAACGGUAACCGGUUGGAGAGUGUGCAUCGAUUAUCGAAAGCUAAACGAUGCCACUCGUAAAGACCAUUUUCCCUUACCUUUUAUUGAUCAAAUGCUAGAAAGAUUAUCGGGCCAUAGCUAUUAUUGUUUUCUAGAUGGAUUUUCGGGGUAUUUUCAAAUACCCAUAGACCCAAUGGACCAAGAAAAGACCACAUUCACUUGCCCAAGUGGGACUUUUGCUUAUAGACGCAUGCCUUUUGGGUUAUGCAAUGCACCCGCGACUUUUCAAAGGUGCAUGACAGCUAUAUUCCACGAUAUGGUGGAAAAAUUCAUGGAAGUUUUUAUGGACGAUUUUUCCGUUUUUGGAUCAUCUUUCCAUGAUUGUCUCACUAAUCUUGACUUAAUGCUUGCUAGGUGUGAAAAAACCGACUUGGUACUCAAUUGGGAGAAAUGCCAUUUUAUGGUCAAGGAGGGUAUAGUGUUGGGCCACAAGAUUUCCAAAAUGGGAAUUGAAGUGGAUAGGGCAAAGAUAGACACUAUUGCCAAAUUACCCCCACCAACCAAUGUGAAGGGCAUUAGGAGUUUUCUAGGACACGCGGGUUUUUACCGGCGUUUCAUAAAAGAUUUUUCCAAAAUAACUAGACCUCUAACACAACUACUACUAAAAGAUGCACCAUUUAAUUUCACUAAAGAGUGUUUAGAGGCAUUUGAAUUUUUAAAGGAAAAACUAACUAAUGCCCCGAUCAUUAUUGCACCAAAUUGGAACUUACCUUUUGAGAUUAUGUGUGAUGCUAGUGACUAUGCAUUAGGAGCUGUCCUUGGUCAAAGGGUUGAUAAGCACUUUCAACCCAUAUAUUAUGCUAGCAAGACUCUAAACCCAGCCCAAGAAAAUUACACCACCACUGAAAAAGAAUUACUAGCUGUGGUGUAUGCCUUUGACAAAUUCCGCCCUUAUUUGGUUUUAUCUAAAACUACUGUUUUUACUGACCACUCGGCUAUCAAGUAUUUGUUUUCCAAACAGGAUGCCAAGCCAAGACUAAUACGAUGGGUGCUACUUCUUCAAGAAUUUGACAUAGAGAUACGAGACAAGAAGGGAAUGGAGAAUGUGGCAGCCGACCACUUGUCAAGGCUUGAGAACCCGCAAUUGCAAGAAGAUAAAGUUGGAGACGACUUCCCGGACGAGUACAUCAUGGUGACAGUGGGAGAAGAGCCAUGGUUCGCGGACAUAGCUAAUUAUUUAGCUACAAAAUACAUCCCGAAAGACUUUAGCAGUCAACAAAAGAAGAAAUUCUUUGCUGAAUUAAAAUAUUACUUUUGGGAUGAGCCAUACCUCUUCCGAAGCUGUGCGGAUGGGAUCAUACGAAGAUGCGUAUUCGGAAAGGAAAGCCGGAAAAUACUAGAGCAUUGUCAUAGCGGGCCCACGGGUGGACAUCAUGGAGCACAUUACACGGCGAAGAAGAUCUUUGACAUUGGGUUUUAUUGGCCCACAAUUUUUAAAGAUGCAACCCAAUUUGUCAAAGAAUGUGAUGCUUGUCAAAGGGUGGGAAACAUUUCAUCUCGAAAUGAAAUGCCACAACAUAGUAUCCAAGUAUGCGAGGUGUUCGAUGUGUGGGGAAUUGACUUCAUGGGACCAUUUCCCAUGUCUAAAGGAAACAAAUACAUACUAGUGGCGGUGGAUUACGUAUCUAAAUGGGCGGAAGCACAAGCAUUACCAACAAAUGACGGACGGGUGGUAGUACGGUUUUUAAAGAAACUAUUUUCACGAUUUGGAGUCCCGAAAGCCCUUAUAAGUGACCGAGGCACACAUUUUGCCAAUGAUCAAUUGGAAAAGGUGUUAAAGAAAUAUGGGGUCACCCAUAAGUUUUCCACAUCAUACCAUCCACAAACUAGUGGACAAACCGAAGUGACAAAUCGAGCUUUAAAGCGAAUUUUGGAGAAAUCGGUGGGGAGCAAUCGCAAGGAAUGGUCGGAUAAGCUAGAUGAUGCACUUUGGGCCUUUCGUACAGCUUUCAAAACACCUAUUGGUACCACACCAUAUAGGUUAGUUUAUGGGAAGCAAUGCCAUUUACCGGUGGAGCUAGAACACAAGGCGUUUUGGGCAUUAAAGAGUUGUAACUUCAACAUGGAUGAACUAAAGAGCAACCGGUUAAUGCAAAUGAAUGCUCUUGAAGAACUAAGGAAUGAUGCAUACUCCAGCUCAUGUCUAUAUAAAGAGAAGACUAAGAUGUGGCAUGACAAGAGGAUCAAAGAUAAACAAAUUCAUGAAGGUCAAAAAGUGUUGCUCUUCAACUCAAGACUCAGCUUUUCUCNCUCUUCAACUCAAGACUCAAGCUUUUCUCGGGAAAAAUCAAGUCCAGGUGGGAUGGGCCUUUUGUAGUGAAGACGGUGUUUCCACAUGGUGCCAUAGAGCUAUUAUCAAGAGAUGGCACGCCUUUCAAGGUCAAUGGUCAUAGGGUUAAAACAUAUGAAGAAUGAGUCCCCCGUAAUGAAGGAAUGGAAGAAUUGUUGUUACUGGAAAAGAAUGCAGCCACGUAAAAGGGGAGGAGUCCAGCUAAUGACUCCCUAAAAAGAAGCGCUUCUCGGGAGGCAACCCGAGUCUCAAGUUUGAAUUUUCUUUCCUUUUCUUUUACUUUAUUUUUUUUUAUUUUUUUUUCUUUCUUUUCUUCAUUUAUUUUGAGAACAUAACUGCUUGAGGACAAGCAAUGCUUAGAGUGUGGGGUGGAGGGUUUAAAAAGGAGAAAAUACAUAAGGUCUUUAAAAUUGUCACAAAAUUUUUCAAUCUGUAAGGUUUACUCGCCGAGUAGGGCCGUAUACUCGGCGAGUACCUACUCGAGUAACCCGAAAAAACGCGUAACUGCAUAUGUACUCGGCGAGUAGGUCCUUUCUACUCGGCGAGUAGCCGAUUUACACGGGUGAAUAAUAAGUCUGUAAAAAGAGUUUUUUUUCACCCAUUACACCUCAUACUCGCCGUGCACAGCAACCCUCGAGCAGCCAAGCGAUUUUUCGCGAGUUCGUUCAACUUCUUCCGAAUUUCUACUCGAUUCUCAUCAUUCAACCAAAAAGGUAACAUCUUUACACUAUAAACUCCUUAAAGGUUUGAUCUUUAUCAUAGAUUUGCCCCGGUUUGACUUGAUUUCGGAUUUGGGGUUUCCUCAAAUUCUAGGGUUUCGAAUUAGCCAUGAAUUACGUGAUAUUAGGACGAAUUUCUUUAUGAUUUGUGGUUAGAUAAGCUAUUACAACAAACCCCUGUAGAAAAAUUGGAUUAUUAACUGCUAUACACAGGUCCGAGACAUUUGCAGUCUCGCAGUUCAUCCUACUCGCCAAGUAGGUCGUGUACUCGGCGAGUAGAUGACUUUUCAGACCCACUUUCUUGUUUUUAAUUACUGGGUAUUGUUUGAUGGUGUGUUUGUUGGUAUUUGUAUGCAGGAACCAUGUACAGAAGGGGGCAAUCUUCGCACGGAGGAAGUCAAAAUGAUAUUCCAUGGCUUUCCUUUCAACACAUAACUUCCAAGUCAUCCCAAAACCGGGCUAGAAACAGGUUGGAAGCCCUAAAACAAAAGGAAAUUCAUCUCCCAGAUGCGGUUGACUGGGGUUGGCUGGGAAAUGUCGGAUUAGAGGAGGAGCUUACACCAUAUUUGGUAAAAGAGUGUAGUUUGGUGUACACCACCAUUAUUUGUGACGGGUGGUUACAAUUGUUCAAAAUUCAGGAGUCCGUUUAUGCUGAGUUGUGUUGGGAGUUUUUUGCUACCAUCUCAUUCCGAGGUGGUAGUGAUUACUACAAUCCCAACGUGAUCUCUUUUUCUUUGGGUGGAGAGCUGCGACAGUGCAGCAUUGCUGAGUUCUCGUGGAGGUUGGGGAUUUAUGAUCAAAGCGUGAUGUUAACAAAAGAUUUUGAAGCAUUCCUGGAAAACAGCCACAAAGAACUUCCCGAGGCAGUGGUGGCCUCGACAUGGUGGAACACAAUAGCCAACAUAGUUUAUAUUCCGUCCACCGCUCAAGAAGGCCACAUCCGUUCACCGAUCCACCGACUUCUUCACCGAUUUGUCGCCAGUACCAUCAACCAAAGGAAGGAUUGGGACAAGGUUCCAACCCUUGACAUCUUUUAUUUAUAGAGUAUCAUUACUCCCGAGGCCUUUUGUAACAUUCCUUACUGCAUUGCCAAGUUCCUUGUCGAAGGGGCGGUCAAGGAGAAAGUUAAUUCAAAAAUCAAUGGAGGAAUGUUUAUUACUCGACUGGCCAAGUCGUAUGGGAUACUUGAUCUACCGCAAGCUAGGGCGCUCACGGUUAUCCACCCUCCACCAUUCAACACAGCAUUAUAUCGGAGGGCGAGGAUAGUUGAAAAGUUUGGUGACUCCUUUACCAUCCCACAUGAAGAUGAGCCGGCGAUUCCGGAGGAACUGGGAAGGCGAGUUAGACAACGUAGCGAACGGGUACGAGAAGACCCACCGGUUAUUCUGGUGGAGGAGGAUAAUGAUGGGUGGAAUCAAUUAGAGUACCGCCGCUACCUAGAUGACAUUGGGCAAGGGGUGAACUACAAUAACCAAUCUUUUGAAUAUCUUUUUCAGCAAAUGAAUAUCGCCCCAAGACCUGGUCCCAGAUACCCGUAUAUCAUGAAUUGGGAGGAGCGGAUGAGAAGGAGAGCCAGAGAAGGAGGAAGUGGCACGGGAGGCGCUGAUAUGGAGGAUGAAUGAUGAAGACUUGUUUUCUUUUGUUUUUGUUUUUUUUUUAUGAUGAUGUUUUAAUUAUGUUUUGGACAAAUGUUUAAACACUUGGAUGAUGGUUGUUUUGGAGGUUUGAUUAUUAGUGUCACUUUUAGUUGUACAAUUUUUUUUUCAGGAAGGAAGAUUAGGAGGCAUUCUAAGCUGAGGGUCAAAAAGGGAAUUAGGAGAUUUUCAAGAAAAAUGAAGUGUUGUUCUUAGGAUUGAGUCCGUGCAAGUUGAGAGUGAUGGAGUGUGAUAUUACUGGAUGAAUUAGAAGAGAGGAUCUACUCACCGAGUGCACAAAACCUAUUCGGCGAGUCCCUGAGUUAUUGCACGGCAUUGUUCUGAGACGAGAUCUACUCGCCGAGUCCACGAUACUACUCGCCGAUUAUGCUGUUAAUUUUCGAAUCCCAGAAUUGCUUUGGGCACUUUCACUGCAACAUUUACAUACUUUUUGGGAGGAAUUGUCUCUGGAGAUGUUCUAAAGAAGCUUGUUCCUUUAAAUUUUCGAGCUGUCAACCACACGAGAUUUGACACCCAAGGCAUGGAUGUGUUGUUCCCAUGCCAAAGUCAGCUGAAGUUGGAGCCUUACAUGAAGAAGUAUCAACCUAUCAACUGCUAUCCCAGGGGAGUUUGUUCCAAUUCCCUCUUUAUUUUGUUUUUAUGUUUUUAUCAUACAUAAUAUGCAAUGAGGGCAUUGCAUAAAAUAAGUGUGGGGUAGGGGGUUGUCACAUAAAUAGAAAAUUUAGAAUCUUAAUUUAGGCUAAUUUUAAAAAAUUUGUUGCAUAUCAAAAGUAUUACUUAGGAUUUAAUUUAGAAAAUUUUGGUAAAAGAAAAAUUAGGAUUCCAUAUUAGAGUUGUGUUGAUAAUUGCAUGAAAACCCAAAUGUUUAGUUGAGCCCAUAUACGUUCUAGUGCAUUUGUGGCUUCCUUAUUCCAGUGAAAUCAUGGGACAAAAACACAACCUCGCUUGGUUUGAGGGAUGCAAUAUGUUUAGCAGCCUAAAUUUGAAAUGUAUCCAGGAAAAUUAUUAUCAUUAGCCAAUAAAGGUUGAGAUUGAGCGCCCCUGCUUAAGCAUGUAGGGAUUUGAGUGAAAAAAAAAAGUGAGGUACAUGUAAAAAAAAAGAGAGAGAAUUACAAGAAAAGUUUGAAGAAUUUUUGGAGCAGCAAAGUCAAAUAUGAAAUUAGAAGAUCAAAAAUUCAAAGAAACUCAAAAAGUUGAAGAUACCAAAAAAAUCAAACAAUAAAGGUGGUGAAUUCAAAGAGAUCAAAGCAAAUAUCAAAGAAGAGAUGAAUUCAAAAGAGCUCCAUAAUGGUAUCAAAAAGUUGUAAUUCUAGAUUAUGUAUGCUUGGGUUGCUCAAUUAAAAACACCUUGAGGGUAAGAGGUUUUCUGUGGAUGGAUUCGGAGGGUUGCAUAAAAUGAGCAUAGUUCGGGAUGAGUGGGCAAGUGUUUAUGAGGAUUGUGAGUAUUUGGAGUAUGGGAGGUCCUUAGGAAAAAAUUUUAGACACAAAUGCAUGCGUUGCGGUCUUGGCAUAAUGGCUGGGGUAGAUUGGAGUUGUCAUAUGUGAUUUUAAUAUGUUUAAAAUUUAGUUUUGCUUGGGGGCAAGCAAAAGUCAAGUGUGGGGUAUUUUGAUAUGUGCAUAAUUAGUUAAUUAUUUAGUAUAUAUUUUUAUUCAUUUUUAACUAAUUAUGUGAAUAAUAUGGACAAAAGGUACUUAAUAUUGUUUAAAUUUUGUUUUCAGUCCAAAAGAUAUGCUUGGGAGUAAAAGGGAGCAAGGGAAAGCAAUUGAAGACCAAAGAAUGAAGAUUGAGGAACAAAGGUAUACCUACUCAGCGAGUACACGCGUCUACUCGGCGAGUCCAACUGAAUAUUCCAGAAGAUAACCACGUCUCCUGAUCUAAGAUGGAUAACAACGAGUCUACUCGGCGAGUUGGGUCUGCUACUCGCCAAGUACCCCCUGUUUUGAGAUAUCUAUAAAAACCGAACCUUUAUCCGAGGAUAACACACCUUUGGCGAUUUUUGAAGAUCUUUCUGCGAUUAAGAGCACCAGAAGACGCUGAGGAAUCCUAAUCUCCAACCUUUUGAAGAAUUGAAGCAACCAGGUUAAUCAUUCCACUUAAGCUUAGGAUUUGAUGAUGUCUAAUCUAGUUGAAUUUGUUUUUGUGUGUGAUUUUACUGCAACUAUGAACUAAUUUCGUUUUUGUUUCUGUUUGGGGAAUACCAAGGAACUCCUAUGGUUUAAUUCUUAGUUUUGAUUAAUUGUUUAUUGGUGAUCUAUUAAAUUAAGUUUGUUAAAGACCCUUAUGCAUUAAUCAUGAUUAUUUUCUGUUAAUUGGAAGACAAUUAAGCUGCAUGAACAUCUCUUAGUUGUUAACCUCAUAUGUCUAUGUGAACACUAAUUCAUAUGCUUAGGAAUAAUGAUUAUGAAACUAAGAUUAAUAAGACAAUAAUUAGAUUAAUGUGUGAGCUUGUUUGAGAAACCAUCAAACAAGAGUUUAAUUGAUUUAUUAAAUUGAUUCACCAGUACAAAUCUUAUUUAAUCCAAAUUAUUAAUCUAGGGAAUUAAUUAGUUUAAACACUUGAUCACUGCUUAAAUUAGUUAAUUGUCUAAGGGUUAGGAGUAAUGAACAUGAACCUAACCACUUUAAUUGGUAGCCAAUAAUAAUUAAUCUAUCAUAAAUAUAAAUAACCAUAGGAGUGAAUUCGUUGAACCUAAAUAGAAACAUCUUUAUCAAAUUUGGUGAAUUAGUUGUUUGUUUUAGUCAUUUAGUUAAUUAAGUGUUACUUAAGUUUCUAGUCUUGCAAAACUAGAAUAAAAACCUUUUACUUUCAUUAAUUGUUUUAGUUAAAAUUAGUUGUUAGUUUAAUUUUCCGUUCCCUGAGUUCGACACCUUACUUACUAAACUAUACCACUAAAAGACAGGUUCACUGCCUUUGUGUGCUAAAUAUAUUAAUAAAAGUAGGGAUAAAACAAGUGCAUUUUACACACAUCAAGUUUUUGGCGCCGUUGCCGGGGAACGGUUCUAAAUAAUUAAUCUAAUUCCUAAUUUUUUCGAUCCUUUGUGUGAGUUUACUUGCAUAAAGUUACUUUAUUGCAGUUUAGUAGUCAGUAAUUAGGUUUUAGUAUCUGUUUUAGUUUUUAAUAUUAAGGUAUAUUUUUUCAAAAUCACACUGGUACUCGCCGAGUGCAGUCGCACCUACUCGGCGAGUACAAGNNNNNNNNNNNNNNNNNNNNNNNNNNNNNNNNNNNNNNNNNNNNNNNNNNNNNNNNNNNNNNNNNNNNNNNNNNNNNNNNNNNNNNNNNNNNNNNNNNNNNNNNNNNNNNNNNNNNNNNNNNNNNNNNNNNNNNNNNNNNNNNNNNNNNNNNNNNNNNNNNNNNNNNNNNNNNNNNNNNNNNNNNNNNNNNNNNNNNNNNNNNNNNNNNNNNNNNNNNNNNNNNNNNNNNNNNNNNNNNNNNNNNNNNNNNNNNNNNNNNNNNNNNNNNNNNNNNNNNNNNNNNNNNNNNNNNNNNNNNNNNNNNNNNNNNNNNNNNNNNNNNNNNNNNNNNNNNNNNNNNNNNNNNNNNNNNNNNNNNNNNNNNNNNNNNNNNNNNNNNNNNNNNNNNNNNNNNNNNNNNNNNNNNNNNNNNNNNNNNNNNNNNNNNNNNNNNNNNNNNNNNNNNNNNNNNNNNNNNNNNNNNNNNNNNNNNNNNNNNNNNNNNNNNNNNNNNNNNNNNNNNNNNNNNNNNNNNNNNNNNNNNNNNNNNNNNNNNNNNNNNNNNNNNNNNNNNNNNNNNNNNNNNNNNNNNNNNNNNNNNNNNNNNNNNNNNNNNNNNNNNNNNNNNNNNNNNNNNNNNNNNNNNNNNNNNNNNNNNNNNNNNNNNNNNNNNNNNNNNNNNNNNNNNNNNNNNNNNNNNNNNNNNNNNNNNNNNNNNNNNNNNNNNNNNNNNNNNNNNNNNNNNNNNNNNNNNNNNNNNNNNNNNNNNNNNNNNNNNNNNNNNNNNNNNNNNNNNNNNNNNNNNNNNNNNNNNNNNNNNNNNNNNNNNNNNNNNNNNNNNNNNNNNNNNNNNNNNNNNNNNNNNNNNNNNNNNNNNNNNNNNNNNNNNNNNNNNNNNNNNNNNNNNNNNNNNNNNNNNNNNNNNNNNNNNNNNNNNNNNNNNNNNNGAAACAUUAGCAGGUUCGCCACCUGUAGGUGUUAAUGAACUUGGGUGUUCAUUCGCUGUACUCCAUCCCCCUCAUGGUUGCCUUAUUUGACUUAUAUUGCUGAGGAACCCCCGAAGCAUGUGUUGUCGCCCCGAUGAAAUAUUCUUAGACUAGGUCCCUUGUGUUAGUUGUUUUAGGGACAUAAAGUGAGAAUAACGGGAAUGGGUAAUUGGGUUAUUGUUGGUUGAUGAAAAUUAAUUAAAUUAUUUAUUGUGGGUUGAAAACCCUAUAUGCUCACCAGGCUCCCAAGCCUGACCCACUCAGUUUUAUUUGUAUUACAGGAAGUGGCGCAAGGGCAUAAGAUGGAUGAACCAUCAAGUUGUUUUGUUUACAAGUCUGUAUAUGUAUAUAUUUGUUGAAUGAAUUGUGAUGUUAUCGUUUAUGCUUUAUGGUCUGUAUCGGAACAUGACAUCCCGAGUUUUUAUUAUAUAAUGAAAAUACAUUUCAUUUAUGAAAUGCUUUGGUAAACAUUGUUUUAUCACGUUUUGUUUUUGGGAACAAAUUCUGCAACUCUUUCAAAUCAAAAGGAUUUACUUUGAAAUUAUUUUAAAAGCAUAAAUGAAAAUCGGUCUUUUCUGGCCGAGAUUUUGGGGAUGUCACAGACUUGCACGUAAAUCGAGGUAAUAUGGAGUGAGAGGAAAGAGAUUUGGCAACCAUAAACGGUUGGACCCGACUUUUAUUUAUAGGAGGCUGAAAUCCUAUGCUCACGUCGUGAGCCACUAAUGCUCACGUUGUGAGCUCGAUAGGUCACUGCGUUCGUCAUGAUCACUUGCCCGGGAAGAUGUCCAUCACCUGCUCACGUUGUGAACACUGUGCUCAUGUCGUGAGCUCUGACACAUGUGCAAGUUCGUGCCCCGAACUUCAUAAAUUCAUAUGUUUCGCAUACGAGCUCCGUUUUUGAUGUUCUUUAUUUCCACACGUAGGUGAGAUUAUGCUCUACAACUCUCGUUUAGACUCCGUCGGCUAAUUUUGACUUUAACUUUUAUUAUAUUAUUUUUAGUAGACCGGGACAGGAAAAAAUCCGUUAGAAAUUCAUAACUUCUUCAUCUGACGUCCGUUUUCAUAUGUCUUUUUACCGUUGCAUUACUAUCGACGAGAUCUUCGAUUCUCGUUUAGAUUGUUUCAGCUAGAAAUCACUCGAUCUCAUAUUCGAACUUUGGGCUGCAUACCGUUAAGUCGAAACUUCGAAAAAUCAUAACUUCCUCAUAUGAAGUCAUAUUUAGACGUUAUUUUUAUGCACGCUCUCGGUUUAACGUAUUCUACGACCGUCGUUUAGAUCACUAAGGCUAAAUAUUGAUCUAUCAUAAACUCACUAUUUACGUCAUGUAGUGUCGUACCGGUUCUGUCGCGAAACUUCGACAUGUCAUAACUCCUUCGUUAUAACUCGGAUUUCGGCAUUCUUUAUAUUUUCGGAAUCCUCGUAACGACCACUACAACUUCAUGUAUAGAUAUCAGGCUUAUCUAAUAUUUUAUUAUUAUGCUUACUUUUAUUCUUAAUUUAUUUAAGCCACACAAUUAAGCAUAAAACACAUAAUACUCAAAUAAUACAUUUCUAUUAUUUCAAAAUGAGUUACAAAUGUUAGCCUUGACUAUUACAUCAUCAUUAAUGCCUAGCCUAGAAACACGGGUGUUACAACAAUAGCAUAUGUCCCAAUCAUCGGGCCUCACCCGACAUCGAACCCCGCUCGCUAUACAUAGCAGCACAUAACACAUGUAACAGUCACGCAUAAUCCUAGCAUCCUAUCAUAAUCAGUAAGGGUUGACAUUGGUGCCUUAGACCCCCUAAAACCAGUGAGAAAACUCACCUCGAAUGUUGAAUCUCACUGAAGAUCCCUAGCUGCUGUCCUGACGACUCCCCGAGCUAUCAGUUCAAAAUAACACCCAACUAACACAUGGGUUCCAAUCCAUGUUCAAUAAUCCAUACUUGGGGUAAAAUGACCACUUUACCCCUAACCUAGUUUGAUACAAGACUAAGGCCCAAAUCCACAAUCUAAAAGGAUCAAAACGAAAUAAUCAUCCAAUGCCCACUUUUGGACUAAUUUUCCAAAUUGGACCCAAACCCCCUAUAUGGGCCUUACAGUAAACCACAAUAAUUUUCCUUAGUCUAAACUCUUGAUUUCCGAUGGCCCAUUAAGUCCAAAAGCAACAACGUCCAAAGAAGUGGCCCCACCGAGGCCUAAAAACUGCGAAUCCCAACAGACUGAGUACGCGGGGAGUACUCAGUUAUACGCUAAGCAUACUCGCUCUUUGGCUUGUACACUACGCGUAUGGACUUGUACGCCCAACAUACUCAUCUAUUAAUCCAACUAUUCAAUUAAGCUCUUAGUGCUUAAGUCCAAAGGUCCAAACCACAAUUAUGAGUCCCAAAAAGUGUCUAGAACCAUAAAGUCACUGACUUGGUGACUUUGCAUGCCCGAAAAGGUCCCAAAUUCGAAAUUUAGCAUUCUACUUCCACUAAAUGAACUGAAACUCAUGCAUGGGGAAUUCUAAGCCCUAAAGGUGACAACUUUAUGAAUCCCAGACCAUAGAAACACCAAGAGUGGCAACUCUAAGCUCCUGGAGUGCUAUCAAACCACUAGAUCUCAUAGGGUCCAAAACUUAAAGAAGCAAGAUCUAAGCUUCUAAAGAACAAGAUCAAGGCUUUAUACCUCAAAUUCCUUCUGGACCUUUGUUAGUGCCAAAGGCUCGAACUGUAUUGCUUAUUGUUGCUAGACCUAAGUGGUUAUCCCAAGUUCUUCAUGUUUGAGCAAGUUUUAUUGGAAGGAAUUCAUAAAGUUGACAACUUUAUGCAUUCUAAAGGUCCCUUGAGUAUGAUAAUGUUCACAUCUAGAAGUUGGUUGAUUAUUGGAUCCAUGCAUGUAAUUUUUGGUUUAAUCUCUUUACUUUUACCUAGAAUGGAUGGAGGACAUGCAUGAGGCAUACAUUUCCAUAAAGUAAUCAUUUUUAUGGAAAUUUGGUGUCCCCUUUAGCUUCUCAGAAAGUUAGAGUAAAAGACUUAAUGGACUAAGGACUCAAAUCUUUGGAUUGUGCUUCAUAUUGUAGUCAUGACGUCACACUAAGGGUGUCACGGUGUGAGCAUGAAAGGAACCUACAUCUGUUGUGUCUUUUGAGCUCACGACGUGACAAAUGAAUGUUCACGUCGUGAGGUUUUCCCAAUGGUUUUUGUGUGACCGAUUUGGCUGAGUUAGAGCAAUUCGAGUUGGAAUUGGUUCGAGUGUUCUCUUACGACAUGACAAAGGGUUGGUCACGGCGUUAGAAUCAUUGGUGGACAAUGUGGGUUGUUGACUUUGAAUUUGACCAUUGACUUUUGGUAUGGGUUAACUUUUGGUCAAAUUUCUAUUUUUAGAAGGUAGACUUAGGGUUUACCUUGUGUGAAUUGUUAGGAGGUGUUUAACACCCAUCAUUUAGUGGUGAUAGUUGUUAGAUGUGGUCGGCAUGGCAUUGAGCUAGGUUUUAGUUUGAUUUGCGAUUCAGGUGAGUCUCCUCGCUGUACUUGUGGGUCGAAAGCAUUAAUAUUGGCCCACUGGAUUAUGUUGUGUAGGAAGACCAUGUGGUGGCCUUUGAUAAUUGUUUGAAAGACCUGGAUAUGGCUCCAUACAAAUUAUAUUCUAGACCGGGGUCUGGACCUUGUUAGUUAUAUGUAGGAUGUUAGUUGUCUUUAUGAUACCUUCAUGGAAGACUAGGAGGUGGCUCUUGGAACUUCUUUGUAAGACCAAGGUUUUCGCUCUUAUCUUGGCAAGGAAAGACAUGCUACAACUCAUGACAUGAUAUUAAUUGUAAGACUAUGGUUGACACAUAGCAUUCCUUAUUCUCUGUAUGGUAUGUGGUAUUUUUGGGCAACUCAGUAAGUUUAUGCUUACGGUUUGUGGUUUAACAUUUUUCAAGUACUUCUAGUUCCAAUGGGAAGGGUCCGACUUGAUUACACAGCUUCCCCAAGAGUUUAUUCAACGUUGGUUGUUUGUGAUAUUUUUACUCUGAUGUUUUGAUGAAACUAUUACUUGGAUUAUCUUUUGGAAUGAAUGAAUGGUUUGAUUGAUUAAAAAUGAGUUUUUUUACUUAAAGUUUUCUAGACGUUACAUUAAAUUAAAAUUUUAAUUACCUAAUUUAUUUAUUUAAUGUCAAACAUAUAAAUAAGGAAGUAAGUAAGGAAGUAAAAUAGGAUUAUGUCGAAUACAAUUAUGGAAGUUAUGGUUUUAAAAAAAUCCAAGUCAUAAUGAUUGUGAGAGACGACACAUGACAUCUAUAAAAUGAAGGUAAAAAGAUAGUUUUAAGUCUCUAGAAAGGUGUCANUAUAUAUAUAUAUAUAUAUAUAUAUAUAUAUAUUUAUAUAUAUAUAUACACACACACACACACACAUAAAGAAUUUGAGACUCACUUAUAAGAUAUAAGCAUGAGUAAUCCCAUUUCGUAAGUAUUGGUAUCUAAUUCAUAUUUAAGCACCUUAAACAUUGUCGAGAGUUUUCUUUAUAUAUGAGAUAUAGAUAAAACCAAAAAUGUUGAAGUUUAUACAAAUCAAAUUAGACGAAUACUUAACAGGGGUCUUUUAUUAGCUAAAGUAUGAACAUAACACCAAAGCUAUAUGACUUUGUUAUUCUAAGUGAUUGUAUUUGACUAAAAUUUAGUAUUUGGAAAUUCGAAAAGUAUAAGUAACAAAUAUUAUAAAUUUGUAAUUUCUUGAUAUAUUGGAGAUGAUAUUUUAAUUAAAUACUUAUGUUGUUAUAUUCUAGCAUGUUUAAUCCUUAAAUAACCUUGUUAUUCUAAAUGUAAAUAGUUGUUCAUAGUUGUCAUAACAUUUAUGAAAUAAGACUAAUAUCGACUGGGUUUGUUGAUUUUCAUGGAGAUGAAAAUAGCAAAGGCCAGUAGCCAAUUUUAUAGGUACGUGAUUAGAGAAUAAAGAUUGGACAUGGCCCACAUCAAGAUCAUUUCAUGGAUCGUAGUAAUGAGUGAUAUUUGAUAAGGGUAGUAUCUUUGUAUCCUCAACCUGAUAUACAUAUUUUGGACUUGAGUGUAGCAAUUGUUGUACUUUGAUAUGAUUUAACGUUGUUCCUGUUAAAAGGCAUUAUAUGGGUCAUUGUUGGGUAAAACAUGAACUAAAUAAGAGGCCUUACUAAAAGCUGAAAACCAUAUGAUUUUGAUAAUGAUUCAUGCCACAUGUUCAACAUGAUGUAUGUGACUAAGGGAUAACUAAUACAACACCUUAUAACCGACUAUAGCUUUGAGAUCUUGGAAAUUGGUAGGUUAUAGAUGGCAUCUCUUCAUGUCUUGUUAGGCCAUUGGUAUGUUGCUAGACAUGAACGUUUCUUGUUCAAGUAGGCGUGUAACACCGCAUUUUCACUUUAUAGUAUAGUUUCAAUAUAAAUGUUUCUUUGUGAAAAUCAAAGUGGAAAUAUAUUACUUUUUAGCCAAAGUAAUCAUCAUGGAAGUUGUAGAAGACAUCAAUACGAACUUGUGAGUAUAAAGAAUUCCAAAAUCUGACAUCGUAUGAAGAAGUUAUGAUUUUGCAAAGUUAAGUGUUACAACACAUUACACAAAUAUUUGUUAUGAAAUUAGAAAGAAAAUAUAAUACUUUUUAUCCAAUUUAAUGUAAAGGAAAGUUGAUGUCUACAUAAAUACGAAUCCAUCGAUAUAAAGAACAUCAAGAAUGGAACUCAUAUGAAGAAGUUAUGAAUUUUGUAAGAGCAUUCACUACAUAUACCUUAUAAUAUAUAAAGUGAAAAUGGAUUGUGAAUUAGCUGUUAAAAUCUAAAGGAAAGUUGUAGUACAUGAAAUUAUGAAACUAUGGAUAUAAAGAACGUCGAAGAUGGAGUUUUUAUGAAGAAAUUACAAUUAGCCAAAGAUAUCAAGAAAAUAGCAUAUUCAAAAUCAGCACUCUACUCACCCAGUAUCGACGGAUGAUUAGUGAAUAGUGCCCAAAAUCACCCUAUAAAUACAAACUCACCCCUCAAUUAUUCCUUGCACCAUUCACUUUCAAGAGAAUUUCUCCUCUUACCCUCGAGCAUUCUGGUCCAUCAUGAUUUGACUUCUUAUUCUAUAGUUCAAUUAUCAAAACUCCAAAAGUUUCGAUAGGAAAGAAGAAAGUGGGUGUUGAAGUUUUGCUUGUGGAUAUUCGGACUUCGUCAAAAUCAAGUAAGCUAUAUGUACUCCUACAUAUAGAAUAUUAAAGUCAUAAUCCUUCUUAUGAACUUAUGAGUACCAUAUUAGUCGUUUAUUCUAGUUAAAUGUUAUGAUUGGUCUACUUACAGGAGAGGUGUUUAGGAUAGACAUGUUAGCAUGGUUGUUGGAUUUCAGAAAAGUUAUAUGCCAAAAUGGUCCUGCCUCCCAACUGUCUUGAUUGGCAGAUCCUUAUUUGAUAGCCAUGAAAGUAUAUAUGGGAUUAGCAAAUAAUCUAAGUAUUAGUUGUUAUGCUCAAAUAGUUAAUAACUAGUAUAAUAUAUUAUAGGUUGACACUUAUUGGUCAAGCUAUCUGCAAAGCUACCUAUGUAGCUUCUUCAAGAAAUGUUCAAGUGAGUUUUCUAACUAUACUAUAUAUUACAAUUUGUAUCCUUGUAUCAUAGGAUGAGAUUGCGCUCUUAGACAGAUAGGCUAGUUAGUCAAUUUGAUGUAGUGUUGCACUAUCUAUUAUUUGGUAAAUAUAUAUGUUGAUAUAUUAUGUUGCAAGUUGAGGACGAACUAACUUUGUAUUGAAGACCAAGAUAUUCGGGCGAACCAAAUUUAUGGUGAAGGCCAAGGGAGCAGACUAGUUUUAUGCUGAAGGCCAAGGGAGUGAACUAGCUAUGUGUUGAAGGCCAUUAUGUGAAUGCUUUUUACAUAUAUCUUGUUGUAUAUGGUAUUUUGGGAACCCACUAAGUUUCAUACUUACCUAGUUGAUUACAAAUUAUUUCAGGUGCUUCUUCAUAUCAUGGUGAUAGUAGGGCUUGACUGUACAUGCACAUCGACAUCAUGUUUUAGUUUUUUUCAUAUUCUAUUUAUACCCUGAUUUGAAUAGAUUUGCUAUGUUUUGACAAUGAUUGAAUAAAAUCGAUUUUUAUUACCUUUUUAAAUUAUACCUUACAAUGUUAGGCAAGUGAUUUUUUAUAUUACUGUUGGGUAUAGGUAUUAUCAAUCUACUUUACUUUAAAUGUGAAAAUUUAAUGUUGAAAAUCAGGACGUUACAGGGAGAUUGUUGGAUAUAUAUGCUCAAAAAUCAUUUUAGAAUGAUAUUUUUAAUAGCAUAUAAUCUUAUAGGGUUCACCUUUAGCAAGUUGUCACUUAUUGAAUAUUUAAUAAGAAUGUGAUUAUUAAUAAAUAUAUUCAAAUAUUGUAUUUAAUUAUGGGAAUAAUUAUAUUUUAUGAAAAUAAUAUUUCAAGAGAGUAGAAAUUAUUUAUUAAAUGAUAUGGUAUUAUUUAAUAAGGCAUGUACAAGUUUUUGGAUAGUUUGGUUUCCACUAGACUUAUUAUGCAAAUCAUACAUACUUAUAAAGCUAGCAUUUUUUCUUGAAUUUCAUGCAUUUGAAACCCCCUUUUUAAAUUCCUCAAACCAUAUUCAUUUGAAACCCCCUUAUUUAACUAUUGCAACUCAAAAGUUUAUUCAUUAUGAUUUAACACUCAAAAGUUUUAUAACUUAUAUUAUGUUUAACUAGCAUUUAGUGAAAAGUUUACUAUAAAAGGUCAAUCUUUUGGGAAGACAUGCAUACAAAUCAUAUACAAAUUUCAGAAAGAAAACAAACUUAAAGGAUUUUGUGUUGGGUUGAGGUCUUAUAACCACUUUUGGAGAUAUGCUAUUAUAUUAGAGCUUUUAAUUUGUAAGUUUGUUAUACUAAUUCGUUUUUAUAUUUUCUAUGUUUUUGGAUUAUUGUAAUACAGUCGUUGUCUAUUGUGGUUUAAUCGUUAAUAUAUUGAUCAUAUGUUAUAUAAGGUGAUUUCGAAAAUAUGUUAAAUAUGUUUUUCUUGUUUUUUAAUUGUACCGGUUCAAGAACAUAAUUAAUUAAAACGCAUACAUAUGUUAUACUUUCUCUCGCUCUCUCUCUCNAUAUAUUAUAAUAGAGGUUAAAACACUUCAACCAAAAUUCAUUUAAAGUCUAAUAUUUCAAAUGCUUUUUAAUAAUGAUUGCAAAAAUUUCAACAUGUGUUACUUAAUUAAUUGAUUAAUAAAAAUAAUAAUGUUUUGAAACUCAUAACUCUUAAACUUAUAUUAUUUAAUUUGUUAGUUAACUAAAAUAUUUUUUGUACAUUACGAUAACAUUUUUAUGUUUUGUUACUCAUAUUUGUUUAUGUAAUUAGAAAACAAGGUAUACAUAGAAUGACUAUUUCAAUUUCACAUAGGAAUUGAUACCCCUAGAGAGGUAUGUUGUCUUUAGCCGGUGGUAGGAGAUCCACACAUCUUUUUUAAAUAUUUAUAUUAAUGCUUAGUAAUAUCUAUUUUAUAUUCCUAUUCACCUUAAUUUUUAGGUACAAAUUAAGGAAGAGGAUUCUCGGCGCACUAACAUAAAAUCAAACGUACGCCUUACAAAAUAUAUAAUUAAAAUCAAAUAUCAUAUUUACUAAUCAAGUUCUUUAAAACUCUUGAUGACAUCUAUGUAUAAUGAUAUAUUUUGUAUGACUUCAUUCUUAAUUUCAAUGUUUAAUAUUUGAAAGUUCAUAUAUGAAACCUUGGACGUUUUUGUGUAAUAUAAAUAAUGUAAUACAAAGUUUAUUAGUUCAAUAUUGUUUAUUAAUAACUCNUAUUAUUAAGUAAAAGUAAAGUUUAUAAGGUAUGGACUAUAUUAGAUACUAUCAAAAUAUAAAUUGAUGAAUUUGUUUUGUUAUUUGAUAAUUCGGUUAAUGCCCAAAACAUGACUAAAAACGUAAAUUUCAACAUAUUUCUAUUUUUUCUCAUAAUUAUUUUAACCAUUUAAAUGCAUUCCUGCACAACGCGUAAGGUUACGCCUAGUAUCUAAUAAAGGAAGCAUUUUUCCUUGAUUCUUAUGCAUUUGAAACCCCUAAUUUAAUUUCCUUGAUUCUUAUGCAUUUGAAACCCCAUUAAAUAUAACACGAACAACAUCAAACAUAACAAGACCAAGUAUAAAUAUGGUGGAUAAUAUUAAUAUUUGGAUUUAUCCUUGGCAUCACAAGGUGGAUUUAUUGAACCCUAGAAGAUAUUGGAAAAUUUGAAGUCAUAUUAGCAAAUGUAUUGCUACAUAUAAAUUGUUUAAAUGUCGAUUGGUCUUAGUUUCCAUUAAAUCAUAAUUUCCUAUUUGAUCCUAUAAAAUAUCGCAUGUGAACUAAAGGCACGUCAUGCAUAUUUUAAUGCUGUACUGGUACAAUCGAUACCAAUGAGUUGUCAUGCUCCAUUUCAAGGAUGAAAAGGCUUUUAUUUGGUUGAUUUCCUUCGUUCCCUUCUCUUUUUGUCUGAGAGCAUCUUCGCUCCCAUCACUUUCUCUCUAAAGUAGAAUAGUGAAAGUAUUGGGUGCAUAUGAAGUGCUUCUCCUUUAAGACUUAUUUGUGAUAAGUUCUUAAAGUCUUAAGAAGUAUUUACAAGAUGAGAACUAACACUCUUGGUGACAUACACUUGAUGGUGGAUACAUUAUAAAGAAACUCUAUCUUGAGUUUCUGUCAUCUUCAUCAACUCCCCAAUAGCUAAAGGGCAUCAAAGUCUUCAAAUGUUUUAUUUUAGGCAUCUUAUGGUAGUUUAUAAUCUUUCUAUAGCAUGUAAUUGGAUCCUUGGUGGUUUUGUUUUAAAAUUCUCUUAAAAUAAUUGUUAUUAUAAAAUCGUGUUCGUUUGUUGUUUAUAAGAAUUUUAUAAAUUUUUUUGAACUUAUUAAAACCCUUAACAAGAACAAUAAGCUAUCUUCUUCUUCAAGUAUCCCAUAAACACACCAAAAAUAUCUGAAAGGUACAAAGGGAGCCUAGGGUUACAUUUUAGAGAUGGAAGCUAGUGUUGGGAAAUAAAUGUUACAUUAAGGAUAUUAGUGAGAUGUUAGUUAGACCGGUCUUCGUACCCGAUUUAAACAAAUAAAUUUUUAUCAUUGUUGGGUGCACUAAGAAUAUAGCAUAGGGAAGCAGGGUUGAAUCCUUAGGGACACAGCCUAAUGGUCAAUGUCUUUUUGCAUCAGGUACAUUCUAGUCAAAACAUAAAUUAUUAAAUGGGGAUUUUAAAUUAACUAAACAAAACUAAAAUUGCAUUGAAAAUAGAUUAAACAAAAAUCAAUAAUAAAAAAUAUUUCAGUUCUGCUGCGACUUUCCAAAUCAUGCAAUCAGUUCAAAUCUUAUUAUUCGGAAUGCGCUCUAUCUAAAAUGGUAUUGAGAAAAAGUAGCAAGCUCUAGUAUAAUCUCCCUUAUUUAAAUUAGUUAAUCAAAACAAGCUCUUCAAAUUAACCCUAACUUUUUAUUGUAUAAUUAAACAAGCUCUUAAUUAAAUCAGAAAAGUAGCUUUACGUUCUGUGUAAAAUUCCUAACAAUACCCAAUACUUCUCACAAGCUUGGAAGCGUAAAGAUAUGGUUUUUGAAUUUUAUAUCAGAGUUAAAUACCAAACACGAAACCAAUCUGAUACUCGUUACUUUUUACCAGUUGACAAGAACAAUUACGGAUUCUAUUAACUAUUAACUGGAAUGAUAAAAACCCUAGCUAGGUGAUCAGACUAACAACAUUAAAAAUCAAACCUUCAUUAAGUUCAAACGAAAAAAUCUAGAUAGAAACACAAAACAAAAACCAGAUCUGAAAACUAAUCACAUGAAAAGUACUAGUCUAUGCAGAAUUGAAAACUAAGGUUUAGCCAGACAUGACUAAAAACGGAAGUAAACUAGAUAAAAUAAACAUUAACCAAAUAAUUUGGAUAAACUAAAUGUGUGAGAUGAUUCGCAACUUCAAAUCUCCAAAAGUCGUUGAAAUGUAUCAGAAAUUGUCUUCUGACGGGUAUUCUGCCGUCUAGACUCAUCUAACCUCCAAAUAUGAUAAUGAGGGUCAUAUUUAUAUGCGAGACGGAAACUUCCGGAGAAAUAAACUAAAAAUUGCGAUCGCAGGUUGGUUAUAUGCGAUCGCAGCUUUUCCAAUUUUUUCCAGAUUUGCCCUAAAUGAUGUAGGAUGUUAUUUUCAACGUUUCUGGAACUUUGGGCCAUUUAUGUGAUCACAGGUAUGCCAUAUGCGAUCGCAUGUUUUGAGUUGUUACUUCAGAUGACUUAUUAUGACCCUGGGAAACUUCGUGGCAAACAUGCGAUCAUAAGAAAAACAAGCGAUGAUACAUACGAUCACAUUUUUCACCUAUGUAAUCACAGAUUUCGCCUUUUUCACAAAAAUGAAAGUUUUCCGAAACCGUGUCUAGUUUUCAAAAUUUUUUGAAUCUAGUCAAUCGGAGUUACGGUUAAUGAGAUAUGGUCAAAAUAUUGACAGGGGUCGAACCUGCCAACAACGUCCUUUAGCUUCAAAUUGUAGAAUCUAUCUCCGUGUGAUCAAUUCCAUCGAAUUUCUUGAACAAAACAUUUUUCAAGCAUCCCUCAACAUCCUCCUUCAGUUCCAAUUCCAUUUAGGCUCCAAAUAUGCAUCCAACUGCUCCCAAAGUACUUCUCCACUCGAACUAUCUGAAAAUGACAUAAAAAAUGCUAGCAGCGUGGGAAUCCUGAUAAAAGACAUGAUCUAAAUAUUAUUUAAACAAAUGACAUGCAUAUGUACAAAAUAUGAUGCUAAAUGAUAAUAAAAACUACCCUAAAAGAUGCAUAAAAUGACACCUAACAAAUCUCCCCAAGCUUAAACCUUGCUUGCCCUCAAGUAAGAAAAAGUUAAAACAUUAUAAACAAAUGGAAAGAUGUAGAUGACCUAAAAAGAAUUUAGAAAAAAAAUAAAGGAAAAUAAAAAUACUUCACUCUGUUUUUUUGUUCGCUUGAUCAGAUUUCACAACAAGGAAGCUCCAAUGAAAUCACUACCUAGACAACAGUGUCAAUGCCUUUAUAUUGACGAUUGAAAAUUUAUAUUUAAUAAGUCAAACCAAGCUUGAUCAAAUAAAUUUUACGUUGAAUUAAAUUUGUGAAAACAAUGUAUUUUUAAAAAUAAUUCACAAAAAUUCAUUUAUAAAAACUUGGCUUGACCAACCCCUCAUUUUUUCUGAACUCGUCCAGUAAACGCGGUAAACUCCAUUAUGGACAGAAAAUCCAAGCUUACCCCUAUGAUUCCACUAUCAAGAGAUCAAUCUCAUUAUACCACACAUCUUCUUUGUCUUGAUAAAUUCUUCAGAUUUAACUUGCUUGCUUCUUGAUUUCGACUUGACUUGACUUGGAUUUGACUUGGAAUUUCAAAUUUCUUCAAGUUGCUUGAUAUACCGUUUCUAACAAAUAUAUAUUGACUGAGCGCAGAUUUUACUUUGAGACCCACCAUAUCUUCAAUACUUCAAAAAUGAUAAUAAAUUGCGUGUAUAACAAGAUUUCCCUCCCAACCUCAAAAGGCACAAAAACUAUAGGGUUCAGUACUUCAAGGGAUGAUAAGCGUUAUCCAAUCUAGGUUCUUUUUAAGGCAUUUAAGGAAAUUAUUUCUAAAAGAUUGUUUAUUUUUCCACCCCACUUCCAUUAUAAAAAUUAUCUGACUCUUAUGUUUGUUCAUACUGAAAACAUUUAAAGCACUCGAAAAUAUAAUUUUAAAAUUGAUUGUAAUGAGACUGUUAUUUUCGGUCACUAUCACAUUUAAUCUUAACAGACUUAUCGAAUACAAAAAAUAUCCUCAUCUAAUGUAAAAAAAAUUCAAAUGUUUUCGAUUUUUUUGAAUUUUUUAAUAUACAGAAAGUAAAAUAAUAAUAAUAAUAAUAAUAAUGAUAAUAAUAAUAAUAACUAGAAAUAAAAUCUUUUUUGUUUUUUUUUCUUUAGAGUUUCGAAUUUUUUCAAAAUUUUCAUAUAUGCAAAUGCAAUGCGGAAAAUAAAAUGUAAAAAUAAAAACUGAAAAUUUGAAAUAUAUAAAUGAAAAACUGAAAUUUUUUUAAUUUUUUAACAAAAAGAUGAAAAUUUUACACUAACCCCCUCCCAAGCUUAAAAUAAUGGAUUGUCCUCAAUGCUCAGAGAGGAAUGAACAACUCAAUGAAGCAUAUAAAAGCAAAAAGGUGCAGCUAGGAAUGAAUGUACCUGAUAAGUUUAUAGAAAUCUGAUUUGACGAGGAAUGUUGACAAAAAAUCUGAAUUUCAUCAACUAUGUCGAUCAUUUGAUUUCCCCAAACUUGUUUAGAGCUGCGACCAUCUCUUUAUUGAAAGCGUAAAAAAGCUAAAACUACUCCUCGGGUUGCCUCUAAAAAGCCGCCCAUUUUUUAAGUCGUUGGCUUAACUUUACCCACCCAGAUUAACUAGCUGGUGUGAUUGGGCCUUCUUUGAUACUCAACUAUCUUCCUUGUCACUCCAGAUCACUUCAAAAAUGGCAAGAUGGGUGGAUCUGGAACUUUUUCAGCAAACUAGAAAGACUCCAAAUUGUCUUCAGAUAAGUUUUUUAGAUUUUUAAACUUCUUUCUUUUUCCAAAACCAUUUUUCUUUUUUCUUUUUAGAUUUUUAUCUGAUUCUUCCUCAGCAAAUUUCAGCUCCUCUUCUCCCCUAAGAUUAUUUAUGUUAAGCUUCUUAUCAGCAACUUCAGAUAACUUCUUUUUAGCAGUUACCUUUUCUUCUUCCCAAUGAUUUCCUUUUUCAGUUCUUCUGAUGUGUCUUAUAAAUUCAAAUCUACAAAUAUUCUUUGCACAAAGAUAUUAGAAAACUCAUAGCAGCCCUUAGAUAAAGGACUGUCGGUACCCAGAUAAUUAACAAAGAUAUUAUCAGAAGGAAAAUUAUCAUCAUUAAUUUUAAAGUUAACCAUUUCCUCAUCAAAUUCCACUAAAAUCAUGACAUUAAAAACAUCUAUUUUUGUUUUUGUAGUUUUCAUAAAUGGCUUACCCAAAAUGAUAGAGUUUGUAUCUGAAGUGUCAAAAUUUCCCAUGUCCAUAAUAUAAAAAUUAGCGGGAAAAAUAAGAUUAUCCACUUGGACAUGAACAUCGUCCUGUACACCUUUUGGUGUACUAUCGAGUGGUCGGCCAACUGGAUAAUUGUCUUGGUCUUUUGUAAAGUUCUCAUUUUUAAUUUUUCAAAAACAUAAAAGGGAAGGACAUUGACUGAACCUCCUAAGUCAAGCAUGUCUCUUGGAAAUUUAAGGUUCCCCAAUUUACAAGGAACCUAGAAAAUCUCCGGAUCCUUGCACUUUGGAGGUAAACCUUUUUAGAAAAUGGAAAAAAUAUUUUCUUCAGCUUUGAAAGUUUCAUUAAAUUUCAUUUUUUUUUCUUUGAAUUGCAUAAAUCUUUAAGAAACUUGGCAUAACGAGGCAUGUGUUUGAUAACAUCUAAAAGUGGAAGAUUUACCUCAACCUUACAAAAAAUUUCCAUAAUGUCUUCAUCUUCUCUUUCAUGUUUCAUAUUUCUCAGUCUUGAUGGGAAUAAAGGUAAAGGCUUGUGUUCUUUCAGAUAUGACUUCACUGGUGUUGGAGUUUCUUUUUUUUUCCAGCUUUUCAGAUCAUUCUUCAACCAACACCUCUUCAUAUUCUUCCUCAUAUUUUUUUUAUCUCUUUUACAUCUUCUUCUUCAACAAGAACAUCUUCAUAUUCCUCUUCCACAGCUUCUUUUUCUGGUUCAGAUACGCUUGGGUGUCCAUAACUUUUCCCACUUCUUAAGGAAAUAACACUCACAUUGUGCUUCGGAUUAUUUUUAGUGUUGCCCAGGUAACUUUCCUUGAGAUUCCAGAUGACCCACAGAUGUGGCAAAUUGAGACAUUUGUUGUUCCAGAUUCUUGAUACUAGCUCUGGUUUCUCUCUGGAAUGCUUGGGUGCUCAUGGAAAGACUUUUCACAAUAUCUUCUAAGGCCAUGCUGGAACUGCUGGGUUGUUGAUGUGUGUUCUAAUUUUGAAAAUUCAAAUUCUAAAAUUGUGUUGAUUCAUAUUCUGAAAUUUGGUCUGAAGAUGAUAAUUUUGUUGAAAGUUCGUAUGCUGAAAACCCACGGUGACUGAAAUUGCUGUCUUUUCUUAUAAUUGUUUUGAUAAAAAUUUGGAGGCUGAUUAAAGUUUUUAUGUUGCUGAUAUCCUCCGAUACCUUUGACUAGAGCAACAUCCUCUUGCAAUAUUGGACACAUAUAUGUUGGAUGUUCAGUCUUUAGGCAGAUACCACAUUGUUUAUUCGCAACUGAUUUUUAUUUUGUUAGGAGCAGAACAACCUUCACCAACUUAGAUAUUGGGCUUCCAGAUGGGCAUUACUGACUUCUUUGACUCCCCUUGGUUGAUCUGGAUACCACUCAUCUUCUUUUCCGAAAUGUUUUGACUCUAUUGCCAACUUUUCGAUAAGCUCCCAAAUUUUUGUUGGUGUCAUAUCUCCUAAGGAGCCACCACUGGAAGCAUUUAUCAGGUGUCGCUCCAUGGGUGCCAAGCCUUCACAAAAGCAGUUAUAGAGAUGAUAAUCAUUGAUCCCAUUAUUUGGACACCGAACCAGAAGCUUCUUGAACCUUUCCCAAUAAGUAUGUAAGCUUAUCUGUUUCCUUGUUUGAUACCAAGGAUUUCUCUUCCGAGACUAGAAUCUGGCAUUUCUAGAAAAUACUUCUCUAAAAACAGCUUUGUGAGUUCUGUCCAAGUAUUGAUGGAACCAGAUAGGAGUUUAUAUAGCCAUUCUCUUGCUGAAUCUUUAAGUGAAAAGGGGAAUGCCCUUAUCUUUAUCCGAUCUUCAGUGAUAGCAUAUGGCUUCAUUCCUAAACAUACCACAUGAAAUUCCUUGAGGAAUUUAUGUGGGUCUUCGUUUUCUAGACCGCAGAAUGUGGGAAGAAGAUGUAUCAGCCUAGAUUUAAGUUCGAAGUUUAGGGCAUCUAUAAAAAUAAUGUAGAGGGGCUGCUGAUUGACUUCUUGAGUGGCCCACUCUUUGAGAGUCUUUUCUGCUUCGUCUCCACUCAUGUCUGAUUCUUUAUAUUCAGUUUUUGAAGAGUCUGUGGUUUCAGAUUUAACUGAGGGGGGUGGGGAAUAUGUUUUAUAAGGACUAUCAGAAGGUGAAGAAGGAGGUACUUUUAUAAAAGACAGAAAAUGCAGAUCUGGUUCAUUCCACAAUGGAUCGCCUUGUGGUCUGGAGGUUUCUUGGGGCACAGAGGAUAAUUAACCAAAGAAACCAGCUGAUUGUUUUCUCUUUUCUACUUUUUUUUCUUCAGUUUCCUUACAAUUAUCUCGAUUUCUGCGACUUUCCUAAUCAUACAAUCAGUCCAUAUCUGGUUAUCCAGAAUGCGUUCUAUCUAAGCUGGUACUGAGAAAAACUAACAAGCUCUAAUAUAAUCUCUUUUACCCAAAUUUAUUUAAUCAAAAGAAGCUCUUUGAGUUAAAGCUAACUUCUUACUAUUCAAUUAAAGAAGCUCUUAAUUAAAUCAGAAAAGUAGCUUUUUGUUAUGUGUAAAAUUCCCAGCAAUACCCAAUACUUGUCACAAGCUUGGAAGCGUAAAGAUAUGGCUUUUGCAGUUUAUAUCAGAGUUAAAUCCCAAACACGGAACCAAUCUGAUACUUUUUACUUUUUACCAGUUGAUAAGAACAAUUACGGAUUAUAUUAACUGAUUAACUGUAAUGAUAAAACCCUAGCGAGGUGAUCAGACGUUCAUUAAGUUCAAAACAGAAAAAUCUAGAUAGAAACACAAACGAAAACCAGAUCUGAAAACUAAUCACAUGAAAAGUACUAGUCUAUGCAGAACUGAAAACUAAGGUUUAGCCAGACAUGGCUAAAAUCGGAUGUAAACUAGAUAAAAUAAACAUUAACCAAAUAAUCUAGAUAAACUAAAUGUGUGAGAUCAUUCGCAACCUCAGAUCUCCAAAAGUCGUUGAAAUGUAUCAGAAAUCGUGUUUAGAAGAGUAUUCUGCCUCUGCAAUCAUCUAACCUUCAAAUAUGAUAAUUAGGGUCGUAUUUAUAUGCGAGACGGAAACUUUCGGAGAAAGAAACCGAAAAAUGUGAUCGCAGGUUUUCCAAAUUUUCCAGUUUUGCCCCUAAAUGAUGCAACAUGCUAUUUUUGAUGUUUCUGGAACUCAGGGCCAUUUAUGCGAUCGUAGCUUUUCAUUUUUUACUUCAGAUGACUUCUAGACAGCUUAUUCAAACUUCGUGGCAAACAUGUGAUUGCAGGAAAAACAUGUGAUCAUAGAUGUGAUCGCAUUUUUGGCCUAGGUAAUUGUAGAUGUAGCCUUUUUCAUAAACAUGAAGGUUGUCCGAAAUUGUGUCUAGUGUUCAUAACAUUUUGAAUCUCGUCAAUCGGAAUUACGGUUCAUGUGAUAUGGUCAAAAUACUGACAGGGGUCAAAGCUGCUGGCAACAUCGUUUAGCUUCAAAUUGUAGAAUCUAUCUUCGUGUGAUCAAUUCAAUCGAAUGUUUCUUACCAAAAAAUUUCAAACCAUUCCUCAACAUCCUCCUUCAGUUACAACUCCAUUUAGGCUCCAGAUAUGCAUCAAUCUUCUCCCAAAGUACUGUUCCACUCGAACUAUUUGAAAAUGACAUAAAAAUUUCUAGCAGUACAGGAAUUCUAACAUAAGACAUGAUCUAAAGGUUAUUUAAAGAAAUGACAUGCAAAUAUACAAAAUAUGAUGCUAAAUGAUAAUAACAACCACCCUAAAAGAUGUAUAAAAUGACAUCUAACAAUGAUAUAUAUAUAUAUAAGGAAUAUGUUUUAGCUAUUGAAUGAUAAAAAAUCCUUUUUUUACAGUGGAGCUCUUUGGUGAACUCACUCCUUAUGUAAGGAUGUUGCUUUAAAGGAGGAUAUACAAGUUUGUAAGAUACCAAGAAAGAAAUGCGUCCAACUGCAACUUUGAAGUAAGAGCUUUUAUGAUCAAUGGUUUUGUUAAUCUUGAACUUUGGAUCUAGACAUGUGAGAAAUUUCAAAGUUAUGAUAUACGUUGUGUUCAUGCUCUAACAACAUCACAAUCAUUAAACAUACCAAUCUAUUCCUAUAUGGUUAAUAUUUAAUUGAAGUCUGUAAUGUAUAUAAUUGCAUAUUGAAUUAAAAAUGAUCAAUUUUAUCGGCUUCACAAUAAUGUGAAAUGCCAAACCAAAUGAUGGUUAUAUUACCAUUUUGUUAUCAAAUAAAUUAUGUUUUGAUUUAGCAUUAUGAAGAACUAUUAUUAUCGUUACUUCUAAUUAGAUACAAGGAAAAACAAAAAAGUACAUAUCAGUUGUGAAAAAUAUUAGUCUUAAUACAUAUUUACAGGAGAAAAAAAGUAGAAAUUCUAGAAGCCACCUACCAAAUUCAUUUUGUUGGGUCGUGUUUUGUAUUUUGUGUUGCGUCUAUUGGGCUCGUUAGCUAGUCCAUUAUGUAUCUCCGUUAUGGGUCUGUCCAUCCAUGAGUUUAGUAGGGUUUAGUAUAUAUAUAGGAGCUUGCAUGCAUCCUAGAAGGUAACGAUAGAAUAGAACGAUCAGAGAUUUAUUCAGCAAGUUUGUUAUUAUCGUUCUUGUAACCCUAAAAUCCUCUACAGCGGAAGUUCUUAGUCGAGCUCUGCUGAGGAUUGUUUGAUCUAAUCAUUCGACACAUCUUGAUCCAUACUUGUGUUAUUUACUGCUUUUACAUUCAUUGCAUUACCUGUUAAGAGGAUCUAAUCAAUCAUUAAGUUUGUUUAUAACUUAACAAUUGGUAUCAGAGCAGGAGGCUGUGUAAUUCAUACACAUCUUUUCUGUGAAAAAGGUUGCGAUUAAGGUUAUUCUGCAUUAACUAAUAUUUGCCGUCAUCCCAUAAUUGAUGUAACUCAGCAUUUAUUUGUUUUUCCCUAAUUUGCGAUUAAGGUUAUUCUGCAUUAACUAAUAUUUGCCGUCAUCCCAUAAUUGAUGUAACUCAGCAUUUAUUUGUUUUUCCCUAAUUUUAUAUAUAUUACAAGUCUGAUCUUUCAAACAGGUUAUACGAUCAAGCAUGGACGAGUCACAAUCAAAUCCCAUAAACAUCUCAAACAGCAUUGGAUCAACGACGAAGAUUCCCAUCCUUUACACCCAGGAUUACGAAGUCUGGGCACAUCACUUUGAAGAUUAUGUCAUUGGAUCUGAAGACAAUGGAUAUCUUAUUUGGGAAGCAAUCGUGUCUGGACCAUUCGCUCAUUCAGCAACGUCUAAAAUCAUUAAAACUCAGAAAGAGUAUAAUGAUAUGUUGAAGGACGUAAAAGAUAUUGCUCAAGACAAAAAAGAUAAGUUUCAGUGCAAUAUUAAAGCAUUGAGACUAAUCAGAUUCGCUCUUCAAUCGGAUACUUUCAGGCUAGUGAGUUCAUGCAGCACUGCCAAAGAAAUAUGGGAUAGGCUACGAGAGUUAUAUUCCACAGACGAAGAUCUGGAGCAUUCCAUUCAGACCUUACUUUUGUCUGAGUUUGGCGAAUUUAAGCAGAAUCCCGAGGAAACUGUUACUCAGACAUUCGAUCGCUUCAAUCAUCUUCUCAGUAAGAUGAUUAAACACGAUAUUGAAAGGAAGUUGAUUGAACAAAAAGUUACGUUUUUGAAUGGUCUUAGAUCUGAGUGGAGAGCGGUUGUGUCCACUGUUAAAGCUCAUGAGCAAUUCAAAUCUUAUUCAUUGGCUAAGCUGGUAGGGAUUUUGAAAUCCCAAGAAAAGAUUGUCUUGCAGGAGAAAAAUGUGGUUUCAAGCUUGGGUUCCUUGGCCCUUCUUUCUAAAAGCAAAAGUGUGGUAGAAGAUGAAGAUCUUAACUUAGAAGACUAUGACCUUACCUCUGAAGAUUAUGCAAUGAUGGUGUCAAAUCCAAAGAGGUUUAUUAAGAAAAGGUUUCCUACCAAUAAGAACAGAAAUUGGCAGGGAAGCUAUAGUUCUGAAAAAGUGAGGGAGGAACCGAAGGCAGAAGAACCAAAGAAAGAGCCGAAAGCUGAAGGAGAUUCAGGUGUGAACUGCUACUACUGUGGAGGAAAGAACCACUAUGCCAAAGACUGUGUCCUAAAGAAAAUGGCAGAAAAGGAUGAAGAAAAAGAUGAAGAAGCUGUGUUGAUGAAAAAGCUGGAAGAGAUCAAGAGAAAGAAAACUACUGCUAACCCUUCUAUGAAUGCUUUAAUUGUGCAGGGUUCGGUAGCGGAUGAUGAGUUCGGUGGCGUGGAGGUCUGGUCAACCGACUCUGAGGAUGAUGAAGUCAGAAAGCCAUCUCAUGGAAAGGCUUACGUUGCGAAAGGUGAAGGAAGCGGUGGAAAGUGUUUGAUGGUGUCGGAUGUAUCUCAAAUGAGGGGAUACAACACAGACGGUGGGAAUGAAGACACGAAGGAGCGAGAGGACUUGUGCUUCACAGCAAAACCUCUCAGCGUGCAGUUUAAUGAGCUUGAUGAAUUAAUCAAGAAGGUACAAUCCAUUUUUGUUUCAUUCAAAGUCCCACAAAAUUCAUAUGAAAAAGAAUUAAAAAAUGUAAAUUCAAGAAUCUCUCAUCUAGACAGCAGUUUAACUCAAACACGGGUCACCAAUUCUAACCUAACUGACCAAAUAAGCAGGGUGUCUUCAAAGAGUGAGGAACGGAGGAUGUGGAUAGAGCUGAAGGAGUCGGAGUUGAUCAAAUCCAAAGACGAAAACAUUUAUUUACAAAGAGACAAUUUAAAACUUUUGAAACAAAGAAAUGUGUUUUGUUUGAUUGCUAAGCGUCUUUAUUCUAACAUCACUCAACUUCAUCUUAACUGUGAAAUAGGACAGAAAAUUCAUCGCAUGAUUUUGCCCUUCCUUGAGUUUAAGGAAGAUGAAAUUGACGCUGAAGCAUAUAAUUGCGAAAGUGUAGUUUCGUCUGAGGAUGUAAAUCCGACUUAUAUGUAUGGUCUAGACAAAAUCGAAUCUUUCAUAAAGUCCAAGGACCAUAAGGACAUGCUGAAAAAUCUUUUGGAUGAAAAUGAUAAACUGAAACUAAGGACCGAAACCAUACAAAAGUUUGACUCAUUGAAUGCCAACUUGAGCUCAGAAAAUAAAAUUGAUGUUGAAAAUGCAUCUGAGCUUAAUGAGGAUGAUGAUAUGAGUGAAAUUUCUGUAGAGGAUGAAGUUGACUGUUCUGAGUUUGUCAAGAGCGAACCCGAAAACCACAAAAAUCUUAUUUCAGAAAAUUCUGUGGAGUUUGCUCGUCUGUCCCAACAAAAGUCCCCGAUCCUUGAAGAAAAGGCUGUUGUAUACCAAAAGGUAAGGACGACUCCAAAUCAGGUGUAUAAGGUCACAGGAGUAACCGAACAUCAGACAGCCGAACUCACAGCCAUUGUAAACGAAGAUAAUGCUAAUGGUUGUGAUGAGUUCUUCUAGUCCGCCCCUAUCGACAAUGCUGACGAAACCGUUGGUCUGUCAGAACGGACGUCCUGGAAAACCAAAGGCAGAUUUGUGCCAGGGCCUUUGAACAAGCUUGAUAACUUCGACAUACCAAGUACUAGUGGUACAAAAGAUGUUCCUGAAGAAAAAGGAGUUCCUGCAAAAGAAGUCACUCCUUCAAGCGAAACAUCAUCAGUUCAAAGUGAACCGGCUGACAAAAAGCAAAAGCAAAAAGCGAAUAUCCAUCGACAGCCGAAGCAAGUGAAGAAUCAAAAACAGCAAAGGAAUAUGAGAUACAACAAGAAUCUCUCUGAACGAAAAUAGUUUUGGCAAUCUCAAAACGCUCAUUUUUCUUAUCAUGACAGAAAUUCGAAGUCAGAGAAAAGUGUUGUUAGACCGCAAGAAAGUAAUAACAACCGAAAGGAGAGGUUCAGUUCUGAGGAUCAUAACAACCGAAAGGACAAGUUUGGUUCUGAAAAAUAUGACAACCGAAGGCAAAGGUUCGGUUCAGAGAACACCAGCUACCAAAAGCAUAGGUUCGGUUCCGAGAGCAAAAGCGACCAAAGUUCGAGGUUCGGUCCCACAAAUGACCAAAAACAAAAGUGUCACUCAGGACCUCAAGUCAAUAAAACUUCUCAGUCUAACUUCUCUCGUUCUAAUUCUUCUAAUUCCUCUCAACCUCAUUCUAAAUCCAAUUCUGUUCAUACUCAAAAUCCAAAAUCUUCAACAUAUUUAAAGGAAAAUCGAAGGUUUCCUCAGUCAAGACAGAUCAAAAUCAUCCCAAAGUCCAAAUGCCUAAACCUGAAUCCAAACCAACAGUAACAAAUCCUAAUAAAAUUAAGGUUUUCACCAUUAAAAAGAAAGAUGAAACAACUUUAAUAAAAAGAACAUAUCUUGUUGACAUCUCUCUUACUAUUCCUGUACCUGUGAAAGGCUCACGUGGACCCAAGAAACUUUGGGUUCCUAAAUCUGCUUAAUUUUUGUAGGUUAUCAGUGACGAGCAGUUUGACGAAGAAUGGUAUAUUGACAGUGGCUGCUCACGUCACAUGACAGGAAGGAAGGAAGAGCUGAGGGAAUUUCGGUCUCUUUCAAACGGGGGAAAUGUCAAGUUCGGGAACAACUCAUUCGGC